UAGAGAAAUUUGUAUCUUCAGAACAUGGCGAAACCUCCAGUCUUAGCUGGGAGAGGCUUCAGGAUAUUGCUCUUGGCAUGGCUAAAGGCAUCGAAUAUCUUCACCAAGGCUGUGAUCAGCGAAUCCUCCAUUUCGACAUCAAACCUCAUAACAUCUUGUUAGACGACCAUUUCAAUCCAAAGAUUUCUGAUUUCGGUCUAGCAAAGCUGUGCUCCAAGGAUCAGAGUGCCGUGUCCAUGACUACAGCUCGAGGAACCAUGGGGUAUAUUGCACCUGAAGUUUUCUCUAGGAACUUCGGGCAUGUUUCCUAUAAGUCUGAUGUUUAUAGUUUUGGAAUGGUGUUGCUUGAAAUGGUCGGAGGGAGGAAGACUAUCGAUGAUAAGGUAGAGAACAGCAAUCAAAUCUACUUCCCAGAAUGGGUCUACAACAGCCUGGAUAAAGGAGAAGAGCUGAGAAUCAGAAUUGAAAAGGAGGGGGACGCGCAAAUCGCAAAGAAGCUGACUCUUGUGGGACUAUGGUGCAUUCAGUGGCACCCCGUGGAUCGUCCGUCCAUGAAUACUGUCGUGCAAAUGUUGGAAGGAGGAGACAAGUUAACAAUGCCUCCUAGCCCUUUUGCUUCUGCAGGUCCUGGAAGAAUGCAUGCAAAUAUGCCAGGGAGACCUCAUUAUCAAGCGUUGGAAGUGAUCUCUGAAACAGAGUAAGCAUACAAUGAUCGAGUAGUCAAGUAGAAGGGCUACGCAAACAUAUCUGCAGAGAGCGAGGCGUUCUAUAAUCUUCGAGGGUGUGUAAUAUUUGUCCAACUGAAAGCAAGUCAUGUAAUAUAAUCUUCGUACAUUGAACAAUGAUGGUGUUUGGAUGUAUUACUGACGCCAAUAUGAUCAAUGCAAACUAGGUAUAAAUAUUUGAACUUUAUUCUUUUGUUUCUCAAAGUGAUGAGAAUGGCUGUCAUAUCUUCAGUCCAAAGCAUGCUUACAAUGAUUGAAUAAUAAAUAAAUGUUAUUAAUAUAUCAUGUUAUUCAUUGUUUGUUUUGUAAAAUAUAUUAUGAGCAUUGUAUAAUAUAAUUUGUUAAAAUAUAUUGAUAGAUUUAGAUUGGUUUACUCACAUGAACAAUCACUUCUAACGCUUGUAAAGUGAGUAGAAAUGAAACUAUUUGAGUUUUAAUGCUCAAUAAACGACUUGGAUGUAGUAGGAGUAAUUUUAACUCAAAAUAAUUCUUAAAAAGUUACCUUGAUUGAGACCAAGAUGAGGUUUUUAAAUAAAAGAAUUGACAUGAAUAAAUUCUCACCAUUCAUGUCUUUAUUAUGAUUGAAGUCGAGUAUGAAAUUAUUCAUUUGCCACUAAUAACAGUGAGCAAAUGAGAAUUUCUGAUUUGAAAUCUAUGUUUUUUGACGAUAAGAUUAAGACUCGUAUGGUGUAUUUCUUUUAACAAAAAGUGCAACGACAUACUCUUUUUUUUUUCAGAAAAGAAAAAAGUAAGCUUCACUAUAUCAUGUAUUUCAUACUACAUGUGCUUACAACUAUUACAAGAAUAAAGAACGGAUCUCUACUUCUUUAUUAUGUGAGUCCUGGAGAUCAUAUCUAAGAUCUUAAAAUUUUACCCUUUGUGACUUUUGAAUAAUCGCUACUUUAGGAAUAUAUUCUAUGGUCAUGGAAUGAUUCGACUUAAAAAAAUACUCUUAGAAAAUCGAGUUAAUUCAGAUCUGAUUGAUAUGAGUGGAAAAGAAAAGUAAUUUUAGUUGUACACCCGUUACUUGUAUUCUCCGGCAGAGAUCAUAUCACUCGAAUAAAUUUAAUAUGGUUUAGAAUACUUGUAAUUGUAAAGAUGAAUUGAGUAUAAAAUUCUUGAGGGAUUGAAUUAUAUUUAGUCAUGUGUAACUAAAAAUACUUUAGGUAUAUUAAUACACUUUAAGAAAUAAUUAAUUAUGAGAUUGAUGUCUCCUAUAUGACAAGUAUUAGUUUUAUAUAUUGGAGCUCCUUUCACUUUGUGCUUCAGGUCGCAUAGUCCGUUCGUUAAGUAUGAAAUUCUUGUGCAAGUUUGAAAUAUAAUGUAUUAGAUAGCUUCAGUAAUUCAUGGGCGAGUGAGAGAUGUUGAUUAUUGGGUUAAGCUUGGUCCGCCCAUGAAAGAUGAGCCUAGUCCAAGUAUUUAGAGGAAUUACUAAAGAAAAUAACAUCUUCCUCUACUUAUAUAUAAAGGGACAUAAUCCAUAUGAAAAAAAAAAGUUUUUCAUUUUAUUAAAAGAACAUGGUUAUCUCUUUCUCUUCUCCCAUCUUGGAUUCUCUGUAUUAAUUUGACAAGAUCUAUAAAAAUAUUCGUACUGUAUAAUAUCACUUUGAUUCUAGUAAUUGAAGUGGCAUUGAAAUAAUUAAUUCAGGGAUAAGAAAAUAAAUUCUCAUGAGUAAGUUUCUUUUUAAAUCUACACUCAACACAAAAUCCAAUGAGCCGGAUGAUGUUACCAUGGUGAAUCCUUCCUGUGGUGGGAACUUCAUUGAUGAAGUCCUGACCAUUUGCUUUCGACUUGCCUGACAUCUUUAUUGCGACAGAAUUCCCACUUCGGAGCAUGCCCUUAUAUACGGAGCCCUAGCCACCCUCACCCAAUUUUUCCUUGAAAUAGUUGGUCAUCUUUUUAAUUUCCGAGUAUGAGUACCUUAUGGGCAUGAAGUUAUGGUGACUUUGCAGAAAAUCUUCGAUGUUGUCAUACGUUGGUAAAUGCCUCCUCCAUUUAUAGAUCAGAAAGAUGAAGACACAUGGAGCCCCACAUACAAGUCUUAUCGCAAGACAUAAUCCUGCGUUGGAACGUCAGAAACCAUAAUAGGACGAGAGAUUCUAUGAUGAGAUGCUACCAAAAUAAUCUGAUGCAACAGAAAUAAGCUGAAAAUUUCUUGAUAGCUACAAUUCUAUGAUGAGAUGCUAUUUACCAUAUAAAGAAACAUGGCAAAUGUGCAAGCAUGAAUUUCAGAAAUAUUGUGAGAAUUCAUGAGGACAGUCAAUAGAAAGCUUACGCACACUGGAAAGAUGCCCAUGGAAAAUGUUGCAGGGGUUAGAGCAGUUGACGACACGAGUGGUAUUAUCCAAUAAGCAAAAGCCUUGCGCCUUGCAUUCUCUACAGUAAAUAGUAUCCCAUUCUAGCGUCAAACCAUUCACAAGAAUUUUAUGGAUAUCAAUGUAUGACAGGCUCCUUUUGUUAUCUGGCGGAGUUGCCAUAAGCACUAGAUCAACAUGGCACGAGUCCCCUACUUCCGAAGCCUUCAUAUCGCCAGAAACAACAUACCGGUAUGCCUUCUUCGAGGACAAGGACGAUAUGCAAGAAUCCUUUCCAGUGAUACAAGAAUUAGUGCUGAUAUAUAGAGGGGACUGCAUAGGAUUCUGGCAACAUAGAAAUAUGUUUUUUCUGGUGCCGUAUAUGAAUGGAAUCAUAUAUGGAUCUCCAUAACUGAAGUUGUUCUCUGACAAAUGAUACAGAGGAAGCGUAGAGCAAUUAUCUUCUUGUAAACCAACAUCAGCUAUCCUUCACAUAGUAAUUGAUCUCCAUCAGCUAUCCGAAUCGUUGAAUAUUUGCACGAUUGUUCCCGCAAGUCAACUGAUAGCUAGGAUCACCGCAGUUUUCCGGGUCUCCUUGUAGUCGAAAAGGGUAGCUAAUGUUAGUAAGGUGGCCACACGAAGAAGGAUGUUCACAAAGAUGAUUUGUUUUAGCAGCACAGGGCUCACGGUUUAUGAGGAGGACCACAAAAAAAACAGCACAUAGAAGAACUCUACUAAACAUAAUGUCAGAUGGCUUGUUUCAGAUUGAAGGCGGAGACUUGAGGCUAUCUCGUGGCUGUUGUCGGCUAAAGGUUGCCUGAAAUUUGUUGGUGGUUAUUAAAGCCAAAACUUCAUCCAUUUUUUUAUUAAAAUUCUGAUAAUUUUCAAAUAAAUAAAGAAGCUAGAGAAGACUUUGAGAUUCUGCAUUUACUUUUAAUUAAUUAAAGACCAUAAUACUGUCAGCUCAAACCUAAGUAAUCAGCUAUUCAUAAUAAUAGAGGGUUUAGAGCAUGACAGAUUUCCCAGGACGGCCGGCUGUCACUGGAGUAUCAAAGUCCCAGUCAAAAUGCAAAAGCAAGUCCCAGUCAAAAUGCAAAUGCCAAGUGUCAGUUACCUCCGAGGAAAGUUACAAGGUCCGGAUAGAUUUAUUAUGUAAAUAUUUUAAUAUUGAAAAAAAAAAUUAUUUUGAAUUUUUAAAUAUUUUUACUGGAUAUUUAAGUUGUUUUUUUAUACCUAUCAAAUCAAUUGAAUCAUGUAAAAUCAACUUUCAUACCGAUUAAUUUUAAAUUCAAGCUGGACAAGAAGUCAGGUUGAAAAGUUUUAAAGUUAACCCGUUAGAUUUGGUUUAAUGAAAAUACUAAAUAGUUAAUAUUUUUUUAAAGAAUUCUAUCAUCUUUUGUUUUUCCUUUUAUUGAAUUAUUUUUUUUUAUUAAUAUUUUCUUUCAAUAAUUAAAGACUAAGCAAGAAUUCAGGUAAAAAAAAAUUCAAAAUUUACCUGUUAAAUUUAAAAAAGUUUUGAUGCUUUCCGCAGUGUAGUGCGGCCCAGAAAACUAAUAGGAAUGGAAUGAAACCACCAUAUGGUGUCCAUAAAUAGGAGCUGUGUUGGUUCUCACCGUAGCUUAAAACCUGGUAGCGUGACGACUUGGAUUCUAGCUGCGGCCGCAUUUUAUUUCUUUAUAAACGCCAUAAUUUUGAUUAAAAAAAAAUGGAUUGACCUUGAGCCUGGUCGUAUGCCGGUCUGGUCUGUGUUUACUGUUAGAGAUAAACCUUUGUUAGUCUUGUUAGUAACAGAUGAAAUAAUGUUUAUCUUUUCUUUUCUGUUAAGCUUUGUUAGUAAGAGAUGAGAUCAUGUUUAUUUCAAGAUAAAAAUAUAUGUUUAGCUUGUUAUCUUGUAUUCUUAUCUCUUCUUUUAAAAUUCAAAUAACUGUAUACUAUCUAUAAAUACAAUGCAUACUAGACUGAUCAUUCAUUCAGCUUUUCCGCACUUUAUUUUAGAAUUGUAACUUUUACCAUAGUUCAUAUGCCUGCUAGUUCUUUAUAAUUUUUAUUUUAUUUUAAUUGUUUGGGGGCGGGCCUGGCAUCAACUUUUAUGCAUGACCGGCAUUACCUCUUGCAUUUCUUGGGAUGGAAGAAGACUUUUGCUUAUCUGGUGCUUCGAAAAGUGACAAACUUGACUGUAACUUAUCCCUAAUAUUUGAUGACUUGCUAACGCGACAGAUUUGAGCUCUGGCUUUUCCUAGCAACUUCGCACCACAGCAUAAAUACCCCACACGGAAAAAACAUAAAGGAACCUAGCAAUAUCAGAUUGGCCAAGUCCUUGAAAUGUUUUCCACGGCUCAAGUCAAUGGAGUAAACUAUACAGAAAUUACUCAAGAGAGCCAAGCCCCAAAUUACCUUUUCACGAUAACAUCAUUUGCAGGACAGUGAAGCUCAAAAAAACUAUGUAUUUGGAAAUGGAUCUCUCUGUAGUUUGCUUGUUGAUGCUGGUCCUUGUAUGUCAUGGAGCUGGCCAUAACGAAACGUUCCAGGAAGCAAGGUGUAAGAAGCAUGGUCCGGCCAUAAGAUUUCCAUUCAGACUCGACAAGCAGCCAGUUCACUGUGGCUAUGAUCCUCGGUUUGUUCUAUCUUGCAAUCAAAGGAACGAAACAUUGUUGCAGCUACCAACUUCUGUGACGCUCAACAUCAAGAAAAUUGACUAUGCAUCACGGUUAAUCAUUGCAGCUGAUCCAGAUAACUGCCUCCCAAGACAGCUUAGAAACUUCAGUUUAUCUCAAUCUCCUUUCAAAUUUGCAGGCCAGUACCAGGAUGAUUAUGCCCUUUUCAACUGUACAUCAAAGCAAGGAGAUUAUUAUGAUCCGAUAUCUUGCCUUGGUGUUCCUGGAUAUGAUAUCUAUGCCUAUAGUUCUAAUAAUUUCCUCGGUUAUACAGACCUGACUAAUUGUACCAAGAUGUAUAAUGUUCCAUCAAUUCCAUCGGAAAUGAUUCGCGGUGAUAAUAUUCUUCACUUGAAUUGGUCAGAACCAGCAGCAUGUGUAGGUUGUGAAGAACAAGGCAAGUUCUGCGGAUGGAAGAAAAACACUUCUAAGCUUGAAACUGAAUGCUAUGAGAAGCCUAAAUCAAAUAAAGGUACGGCCUGUAUUAAAUUCUGCUUUAGUUUUCUGCAGCCAAUCUAAUUCUUUGUGCUUAAUUUGGAACUAUUGGAUGACUCUUUAGUUAAGAAAAUCAAAUAUUUUCACGAGUUCUUCAAUUUUAGUUAUGAAACAUGUAGUUUUCAGGUCAUGUAGGUUGGUUGCUUGAUACAUGUUGAGAUUAGUAAAUUGCACAAGAUAGUCAUGGUUUAGAUAAGAUCCACGAAUUAUGAUUGUCGAAUGCGUGCUAUUAAAGAAUCUAAUGUUACCAUAUAUUUCUCUUACAGGCAAAAUAAGGAAGAUAGAGGGUGCAGGUGAGAUUUCUGCAAAUUUGGAAGUUUUAGAAUUGUCUCCUUAUCUUGCAUCUUCUAAACUAUCUUGAUGAGUUCUUGAUUAAGAAAUGUUUUGUUUGCAGUUGCAACCGUGGGUUCAGUUCUUGUAUUACUGGUAUUGUUGGCAGCCUACCGUGUCUACAGCUCUGAUAAAGCAGCGAAAAACAAUCAGAAAAGGAUUGAAAACUUUCUGGCAGAUUAUAAAGCUCUCAAGCCCGCAAGAUACACAUAUGCUGACAUUAAAAGGAUUACGGAUGAGUUCAAGGACAAGCUGGGUCAGGGAGCAUAUGGAACUGUGUUUAAAGGAAAGCUUUCUGAUGAGAUCUUUGUUGCUGUGAAGAUCCUGAACAACUCAACAGGAAACGGAGAAGAGUUCAUCAAUGAAGUGGCAACAAUGGGAAAGAUCCAUCACGUCAAUGUUAUACGCUUAGUUGGUUACUGUGCUGAUGGAUUUCGAAGAGCUCUAGUCUAUGAUUACCUGCCAAAUGAAUCACUAGAGAAAUUUGUAUCUUCAGAACAUGGCGAAACCUCCAGUCUUAGCUGGGAGAAGCUUCAGGAUAUUGCUCUUGGCAUGGCUAAAGGCAUCGAAUAUCUUCACCAAGGCUGUGAUCAGCGAAUCCUCCAUUUCGACAUCAAACCUCAUAACAUCUUGUUAGAUGACCAUUUCAAUCCAAAGAUUUCUGAUUUCGGUCUGGCAAAGCUGUGCUCCAAGGAUCAGAGUGCCGUGUCCAUGACUACAGCUCGAGGAACCAUGGGGUAUAUUGCACCUGAAGUUUUCUCUAGGAACUUUGGGCAUGUUUCCUAUAAGUCUGAUGUUUAUAGUUUUGGAAUGGUGUUGCUCGAAAUGGUCGGAGGGAGGAAGACUAUCGAUGAUAAGGUAGAGAACAGCAACCAAAUCUACUUCCCAGAAUGGGUCUACAACAGCCUGGAUAAAGGAGAAGAGCUGAGAAUCAGAAUUGAAAAGGAGGGGGACGCGCAAAUCGCAAAGAAGCUGACUCUUGUAGGACUAUGGUGCAUUCAGUGGCACCCCGUGGAUCGUCCGUCCAUGAAUACUGUCGUGCAAAUGUUGGAAGGAGAAGGAGACAAGUUAACAAUGCCUCCUAGCCCUUUUGCUUCUGCAGGUCCUGGAAGAAUGCAUGCAAAUAUGCCAGGGAGACCUCAUUAUCAAGCGUUGGAGGUGAUCUCUGAAACAGAGUAAGCAUGCAAUGAUCAAGUAGUCAAGUAGAAGGGCUACGCAAACAUAUCUGCAGAGAGUGAGGCGUUCUAUAAUCUUUGAGGGUGUGUAAUAUUUGUCCAACUGAAAGCAAGGCAUGUAAUAUAAUCUUCGUACAUUGAACAAUGAUGGUGUUUCGGAUGUAUUACUGACGCCAAUAUGAUCAACGCAAACUAAGUAUAAAUAUUUGAACUUUAUUUUUUUGGUUCUCAAAGUGAUAAGAAUGGCUGUCAUUUCUUGAAUUAAAAGCAUAGGCUCACAAUGAUUGAAUAAUAAAUAAAUAUCAUUAGCAUAUCAUAUUAUUCAUUAUUUGUUUUAUGAAAUAUAAUGUGAGUAUUGUAUAAUACAAUUUGUUAAAAUAUAUUGAUAGAUUUAGAUUAGUUUACUCAUAUGAGUAAUUACCUCUAACGCUUGUAAAGUGAGUGGAGAUGAAACUAUUUGAGUUUUAAUGCUCAAUAAACGACUUGAGUGUAGCGGGAGCAAUUUUAACUCAAAGUAAUUCUUAAAAAGUCAUCUUGAUUGAGACUAAGAUGAGGUUCUUAAAUAAAAGAAUUGACAUGAAUGAAUUCCCACCAUUCAUGUCUUUAUUAUGAUUGAAGCCGAGUAUGAAAUUAUUCAUUUGCCACUAAUGAUAGUGAGCAAAUGAGAAUUUCUGAUUUGAAAUCUAUGUUUUUUGACGACAAGACUAAGACUUGUAUGGUGUAUUUCCUUUAACAAAAAGUAUAACGACAUACUCUAUUUGUUUUCAGAAAAGAAAUUUUACUAUGGUAAGAAUGGAGCAUCAACUUUUGCUUAUCUGGAAUUACCUCUUUUAUGCAUGACCGGCAUUACCUCUUGCAUUUCUUGGGAUGGAAGAAGACUUUUGCUUAUCUGGUCCAUGGAAAAGUGACAAACUUGACUUAACUUAUCCCUAAUCUUUGAUGACUUGCUAACGCGACAGAUUUGAGCUCUGGCUUUUCCUAGCAACUUCGCACCACAACAUAAAUACCCCACACGGAAAAAACAUAAAGGAACCUAGCAAUAUCAGAUUGGCCAAGUCCUUGAAAUGUUUUCCACGGCUCAAGUCAAUGGAGUAAACUAUACAGAAAUUACUCAAGAGAGCCAAGCCCCAAAUUACGUUUUCAGGAUAACAUCAUUUGCAGGACAGUGAAGCUCAAAAAAACUAUGUAUUUGGAAAUGGAUCUCUCUGUAGUUUGCUUGUUGAUGCUGGUCCUUGUAUGUCAUGGAGCUGGCCAUAACGAUAAGUUCCAAAAAGCAAAGUGUAAGAAGCAUGGUCCAGCCAUGAGAUUUCCGUUCAGACUCGACAAGCAGCCAGAGUACUGUGGCUAUCCUGGGUUUGUUCUAUCUUGCAAUCAAAGGAACGAAACUGUCACGACCCGAAUCCCGGAUCCAUGACCAGCACAUAGGCAAGGUUCCCCUCCAAGGUUCCAUGCCUAUGCGAACCCAAACUUACACACAAACUUAUCCUAACUUAAUCAGAGUUCAACGCAGCAUUAAUAACAAAAUCAACUUCAUAAUAUAAUUGAAUUAUCUUAAUACAAGAGUUAAUAUAAUUCAUAGUUUUGGAGCACUAACUUGACAUAAAAGGAAGGUAUAAAUUACAACCAAAAAGCAGGUUCGGAAGGUUCAACAAAAGUAACCUGCUAUCAAGAUAUAAGCUUGAAAAGAAUAAUAAUGAGAGGGUGAGUUCAACAACUCAGUGAGUAGAUAACAUUCAAUAUACACAUACGAGGUAAUACAACAAUGAGAAAUAUAUAUACAAGUAUGGCUCUAGGUUCUUAUAGAAAGGUUUCUCAAAUAGGCCAUAACAAGAAUAUCAUAUGGUAAAGCUCGUCAGAAAAUCAAAAUGCAAUGAGCAUGAGGCUCCGUAUUGUGGGAUGAUCAGUCCACACAGGUUGGUGACUCCCCCGACCAACUAGGGUUCAGAUACGAUGUGCACAAAGACUAACACUACCCUGUGUUAGCAUGGGUAUUCUGACUGACAUACCAUAGGUUCAUAAUCAUAAUCAAACAGACAUAUUCAUAUCUCAAGGCUCAACUCAUGACAUCAAUCAAAUGAGGAGCUAUCAAUUCAGAAGUCAAUUCAAAAUAUAUACCGGUUCAUAUCAAGAAUUCAGAUUCAACAAUUGAUCAUGCUUUAUCAUAACAAGGAUAAUAAUCAACAUAUAUAUUAACAAGAAGCAUGAUCCAAUUCAUAUUAACAAAUCAAAUAUUUAUAAUAUUUCUCAUGCAUAUGGAAAAUUAUCCACUCACCUGACUCGAAAGCAACAAAACUCAAAGCUGAUACCGAAGGAAAUCCUACUGACGUCCCGCUGGUAGAAUAUCAGGAUUAUUUGAAUACAAAUGAGACAUAUUCAAGAAUGACUCAAAAGAACAUAUAACCUAUUUAAUACACUUAUCUAAGGGUGUAUUCCAUAACCCUAUAUGUUUUUGAACUAACUAGUUAUUUUUCCUAAAAACCCAACAUUUAACGGUUUUCCUGAAAUCUAAUCCAUAAUAAAACAAAUAAUAAAAUUGGUAAUAAUUCACUAAAUAACCCUCAAUUAUUCAUCAAACCAAUCUGCAAAAGUUAAUAUUACAUCUGGGGACUAAUAUGUAAUUUAUCAUAUUUUUAAGGGUCAAAUUGCAAUUUUUGUCAAAUUGAAGGACCAAACUGAAAUUGUCAUAAAUCCAUUACUAUACUGAAAUUCUGACCAUAAUUAAUCAUUAAUUCUGUCCAGAAUAUCUCAUUAUACUCCAGGGACCAUUCUGGAAUUUUUCCAAAUUUUUAGGGUCAAAUUGUAAUUUUUGUCAAAUUGAAGGACUAAAUUGAAAGUGUUAAAAUUUCAUAACUAUACAGUAAUUCUGCCCAUAAUUCAUAUUUCAUUCUGUCCAGAAUCUCGGAAUAGGCUCCAGGGACCAAUCUGUAAUUUUCCAAAGUUUGGGGACUAAACUGUAAUUUUCCAAAAUUGAGGGACCAAAUUGAAUUUUCGUCAUCUUCAACCUCAAACCCAGAAUUUUCACAGAUUACCUAUUGUUAUCCCCUGAUUUCUAACACAAAUUCACCAUUCAAACAAAACCAUAACUCAAAAUCAUCAUUUUUAUCUACAAUCUCUCAAAUUCAACUUAACAAUCCAUUACCCACAACAAUCAACCUUAUAACAUUCAAUUUAAUUCAUCAAUUAAACCCAUAACACAAAUUUUCAAAACCCUAACAUUCAUCAAAACUGAAAUUAAAGCUAAAGAAAACAUAUUAUACACAUUUAAGCAUAAUCUUACCCUUUUUUACUUAUUUCUUCAACCCCUUUCUAUUUCCCUUCUAAUUUCCCUCUUUUCUCUUCUUCUUCUUCUUCUUUCUCCCUUCUCUCUCCCGUCAGUUUUUCACUCUAAAUUUUCAGAUCUCUUUUUUUUUUUUUUCUAUUUAUAUUUAUCAAGUUUGUUGAAUUACUACACUACCCCUCAUUCAUUUAUACUUACUCUUUAAGCCUCCAAGGGCUUUAUUGCCAUUUCCUAUCUUUUUAAUACAAAACAUUACAGAAACAUCGUUGCAGCUACCAAAUUCUGUGACGCUCAACAUCAAGGAAAUUGACUAUGCAUCACGGUUAAUCAUUGCAGGCUUUGCAGCUGAUCCAGAUAACUGCCUCCCAAGACAGCUUAGAAACUUCAGUUUAUCUCAAUCUCCUUUCAAAUUUGCGGCCCAGUACCAGGAUGAUCGAUUAUGCCCUUUUCAACUGUACAUCAAAGCAUGGAGAUUAUUAUUGGCGGAUACCUUGCCAUGGUGUUCCUGGAUAUGAUAUCUAUGCCUAUAGUUCUAAUAAUUUCAUCGGUGAUACAGACCUGACUUCUUGUACCAAGAUGUAUAAUGUUCCAUCAAUUCCAUGGGAAACGAUUCAUGAUAAUAUUCUUUGCUUGAAUUGGUCAGAACCAGCAGCAUGUGAAGAACACGGCAUGUUCUGCAGAUGGAAGAAUAACACUCCUAAGCUUGAAACUGAAUGCUUUGAGAAGCCUAAAUCAAAUGAAGGUACGGUCUGUAUUAGAUUCUGCUUUAGUUUUCUGCAGCCAAUCUAAUUCUUUGUGCUUAAUUUGGAACUAUUGGACGACAUCUUUACUUAAGAAAAUCAAAUAUUUUCACGAGUUCUUCAAUUUUAGUUAUGAAACAUGUGUUCCAGGUUAUGAUUUAUAUUAUUCUCUAACACACGUCUUCAAGUGAAAGUUUUUUGGGUUUAAAACUUGCACGGAUCCAUACUACCUUGUGUUUAAUUUUUUAUCAAAUAAAUAGAGAUGGUGAGAUUCGAACUCGUGACCGCUUAGUGUCAAAAGAAUCAUUUAUAUAAUAUACUACUAAUUGGAAUUAUAUCCUAGAACCUUAUCUAAUAACUUAAGCUAUUAGAUGAGAUUCUAAAAUAUGAUUUAUAUUAUUCUCUAACAACAUGUAGUUUUCAGGUUAUGUAGGUUGGUUGCUUGAUAUAUACAUGUUGAGAUUUAGUAAACUGCACAAGAUAGUCAUGGUUUACAAAAAGAUCCACGAAUUAUGAUUGUCGAAUGCGUGCUAUUAAAGAAGCUAAUGUUACCAUAUAUUUUCUCUUACAGACAGAAAAAGGAAGAUAGAGGGUGCAGGUGAGAUUUCUACAAAGUUGGAAAUUUUAAAAUUGUUUCUUUGUCUUGCUUCUUCUAAACUAUCUUGAUGAGUUCUUGAUAAAGAAAUGUUUUGCUUGCAUCUGCAACCGUGGGUUCGGUUCUUGUAUUACUAGUAUUGUUCGCAGCCUACCGUGUCUACAGCUCCGAUAAAGCAGCGAAAAACAAUCAGAAAAGGAUUGAAAACUUUCUGGCAGAUUAUAAAGCUCUAAGAUACACGUAUGCUGACAUUAAAAGGAUUACGGAUGAGUUCAAGGACAAGCUGGGUCAGGGAGCAUAUGGAACUGUGUUUAAAGGAAAGCUUUCUGAUGAGAUCUUUGUUGCUGUCACUACCAGAAAUUCGCUAAAUAGCAACGGAUUUACCGAUGGAAAAUUUCUGUCAGUAAUUUGAGGUCGAAAUUACCGACGGACAAUAUUCCGUCCGUAAUUCAGUCGGUAACUACCGACGGUAAGUGUCUGUCGGUAGUUACCGACUGAAUUACGGACGGAAACGUUUCCAUCGUAAAAAAAAACAGGUCGCUGACGUGAAGGUUUUGGCGGGUUAUUUUUUCAGACGGAAUCACCGACGGAUUCAAAAAGACAGCCCGUACAGCGACGACUGUUUAUAUUGCCGACGGAAUCACCGACGGAUUUGAAAUGGCAGAUCCGUGCGGUGACGUGUCGAUUUUUCAGUCAGAAUCAUCGACGGUUUCACCAACGGAGUUUCCGUCGGUGAAACCGUCGGUAAAAGUUAAUAUAUGUCCACUCCACCGACCCUCUCCUCCCCUAUUUCUCCUUCUUCUUCCUAAUCCCAACUCUCCCCAUCUGCAAACAACCAGCCCCCCUUCCCCCCCAAACAAAAAUCUCCCUCAUAUCAGCACAACAAGUUAUAUUUCUUGAAGUUUUGUGGUCAUAACAUCCGUGUUCUGAUUUACCGAUGGAUUUUAUCAAUUUUUGUAAGUAAUUCUUUCUUUUUAAAUUUUAAUAUUUAAUUAAAUGUUAAUUUUAUCAUUUUUUUAGUAUAUGUAUUUUGUUAAUAAAUGUACAUGUUUUAUUGUUAUUUCUCAAACAAACUUGUAGUAUAUGAAUGUAUAAUUCUAUACCUGACAUGGUUUGUUUUAGAUUUUGUAAGAUUGUAUUUGUUUGUAAAUUGUUAAAAUUUUAUGGAACUACCGAAGUACAUGUGCUGUUUUGAAAUAAUUAAUAGCUUCCUUAAUGGGUCCGUUUAAAGUUUUGUCAAUGGUAUCGCGGAGUGGUAAUUAAUUUCUGUAAAUUUAUAUAUUUUAAUUUGUAUGGACGUUGAUAAAUGAUAAUGAAUAUUUAAUAUUUAUGAGAAGUUGUGAUUGGUUUGUUGGAUAAUCUCGAGGUAAAGUAAUAUUUUUGCAAGUUUAUUUACCUAACUUAGUUAAUUAAUACAUUAUGUCAUCAUAAUUUUAUAGAGGUUCGAUAUAAAUCAUGGAUGAUCGUUCAUGGAUGUAUCGAGAUUCACCCUAAGGAUUGCGGAGGAUGGAUUAUUGUAACGGGGUUCAGGGUUUUAUUAAUUUCGCAACAUCUAUUCCUAGAAAUUUUACUGGAGGCGGUAUUAGGUGUCCAUGCAGGAAGUGUCAAAAUAAAAAGUAUCUGCAUCCAGAUGUUGUAAUGAUGCAUCUUCUACACAAAGGGUUUAUGGAGAAUUACCAGUGUUGGUAUGCACAUGGAGAAGUUUUUGUUAGCGAGAGUGAGAGGAGAAUGGAAGAAACGGUGGUUGGGUCUAUUUCUAGUGCUAGCAACGUGCAUGAAGCGGCAAAUGACAACACUAAUCCUUACAGAAAUAUGGUUAUGGAUGCAAUGAGAAUGAAUCAAGGUAAUGUCAGUCAAUGUCCAAUUGUAGAAGAAGAACCUAAUGUAGAUGCAGCUAGGUUUUUUGAUUUGUUGAAAGAUUCUGACGAACCAUUAUGGGAUGGCUGCACGAACCACAGUAAAUUAUCGGCCGUAGCACAGGUGUUCACCAUCAAGUCAGAUCACGAGUUGAGUGAGGCCGGGUAUGACAAGAUUAUUGAAUGGGCAAGAAGCAUUUUACCUGAAGGGAACAGGCUGAAAGAGAACUUCUAUGCUGCGAAGUCCAUGAUGAAACCCCUCGGUUUAGGAUACCAGAAAAUUGACAUGUGCCCUAACUUUUGCAUGUUAUACUACCUUGAAAAUGCUGAGAUGACCGAGUGCAUGACAUGCGGGCAUUCCCGUUACAAACCUAGAACUGGCAGGGGAAAGACUCUAGUGGCAUAUAAAAAACUUAGAUACUUCCCGAUCACACCUAGACUAUAGAGGUUAUUCAUGUCACCAAGGACUGCUGAGCACAUGACAUGGCACCAAGCACACCAUGCGGUUGAUGGAGUGAUGGUUCAUCCUUCUGAAGGCGAAGCGUGGAAACACUUUAACAGUGUUCAUCCUCACUUUUCAGCUGAAUCAAGGAAUGUGCGUCUUGGGUUGUGUAUAGACGGAUUCAACCUAUUUGGGUCAUUUGCUGCUCCUUAUUCUUGUUGGCCGGUCAUACUCACAGUUUAUAACUUGCCACCGGGAAUGUGUAUGAGGCCGGAGUUCAUGUUUUUAUCUACUGUCAUACCCGGUCCAAGCAGCCCGGGGCGGAAUAUAGAUGUUUGUCUUCGACCGUUGAUUGAUGAGUUGGCGCAGUUGUGGUCCUCCGGAGCUCUAACUUAUGAUAUAUCGAGGAAACAAAAUUUCCUUAUGAGGGCGGCUUUGAUGUGGACUAUCAAUGAUUUUCCAGCUUAUGGAAUGCUUUCUGGUUAGAGCACGCAUGAGAAACUCGCAUGUCCAUACUGCAUGGAAAACAACAAGGCAUUCACGCUAGCAAAUGGAGGUAAAGCUUCUUUUUUUGACUGUCACCGUCGCUUCUUGCCACUUAAUCAUAGGUACAGAAAGAACAAAAAAGAUUUCUUUGUUGGCAGAGUUGAAAAAGAUGUUGCAUCCCCGCGUCUUUCUGGUGAAGAAUUGCAUGAUGUUGUCUCAGAGUACGAUGACAUUGUGUUUGGCCUUCAAUCAGGUAAGCAAAAGUUUUCUGGUUUUGGUUUGACCCAUAAUUGGGUAAAGCGAAGUAUCUUUUGGGAGCUUCCUUAUUGGAAGACCAAUCUGAUCAGCCAUAACCUUGACGUCAUGCACAUCGAAAAGAACAUGUUUGAGAACAUUUUCAACACCGUCAUGGAUGUGAAGGGGAAGAUAAAGGACAACAUCAAGGCUAGAUUGGAUAUAGCUUUAUAUUGUAACCGUAAAAAUAUGGAGUUGGUUUAUGAUGAGUCACGGGUCGCAAAACCAAGAGCAAGCUUCGUGUUAGAGAAAAACGCACAACUGCUAGUCUACAAAUGGCUUAAGAGUCUGCGUUUUCCGGAUGGACAUGCAUCGAACAUAUCAAGGCUGGUUAAUUUAGAGGACUGCAAAUUGUAUGGAAUGAAGAGUCAUGACUGCCACGUGUUUAUGCAAACACUCAUCCCAUUAGCUUUUCGUGAUUUGUUGCCAAAGGGAAUAUGAGAUGCACUCACGGAGAUCAGUCAUUUCUUCAGAGAUAUAUGCUCCAGUAAGUUGAAUGUUGAUCACAUUGAGAGGCUUCAAACGAAUAUCGUCGAGACACUAUGCAAACUUGAGAUGAUAUUCCCUCCAUCAUUUUUUGACUCAAUGGAGCAUCUCCUUAUACAUCUACCGUUCGAGGCAAAAGCUGGAGGACCGGUCCAAUAUAGAUGGAUGUACCCAUUUGAACGGUUAGAUAUUACAGUUGCAAUGUAAUUCAUAUAUAAAAGUAUUUUAUAUGUUUUUCUUAAUUGAAAAUACUUGAUUAAUAUUUCAAUGCAGGUACUUGUUUAAUCUCAAGAAAAAGGUUAAGAACAAGGCGUAUGUUGAGGCUUCGAUAUGUGAGGCCUAUAUUGUUGAGGAGAUCUCAACAUUUAUCUCGUACUAUUUCAAACCUCAUCUGAGAACGAGAAUCAAUCGCGUUCCACGGCAUGAUGAUGGCGGUGAAGUGCCUUCCAGUGGGAACUUGUCAAUAUUCUCCAAUAUUGGACGACCCACACCUAAAAAUGCCGUAAGAGGAAGAUAUUUGUCGGAAAUAGAGUUCAAACAAGCACACAACUAUGUUCUAUUUAACUGUGAUGAGUUGAGACCUUUUAUUCAGUAAGUUUAUACUAAUUAAACUUUGUUAGUAAUAUACUGUUAAUUAUAUAUUGUAAUAUCAUACACUCAUUAUCACUUGCAGGCAACAUCGUCAAUAUUUGCUCUCCAAUAACUCACAGCUGACCGAAUCUCAGAUCUUUUAAUUACAAGAUGAGCAGUUUGCCACGUGGUUCAGAACACAUGUAAGCACUAUCACAAACUCAUUCUAACUUGCAAAAUUACUGUACGUAUGCAUGUCAUUACGAGAUUCUCGUUCAUUUACUGUUUAUUGAUGUACAUUACAUACAAGGUUUAUCAAAUGGGAAGGAGUGCACCUAAGUCAUUGUCUUCACUAAGCCUGGGGCCUGAAAGAAAAUGUAAGUGCUACAACGGGUAUUUUGUCAAUGGAUAUGUUUUCCAUACUGAAGAAUACGGGCAAGGAAGAAAGACAUAUAACAACGGUGUUUGUGUUAAAGGAUCCACUAGUAGUGAGUUAGAAGUUGACUACUAUGGUAGAUUAGAAGAGGUCGUCGAACUGCAAUAUCAUAACGAGCAGAAUAUAGUGUUUUUAUUCAAAUGUUAUUGGUAUGACAUGACUGACAGAGGAAUCAGAGUUGAUCCGCACUAUGGUCUGGUCGAAAUCAACUCAAAAGCUAGACUUCGCAACAUAAACGAUGUCUUUGUUUUCGCAAAGCAAUGUCAACAAGUUUAUUACACAUACACCCCUUCAUUUAGAAAGGAUCGAUCAAGAGUGGAUUGGUUGUCCGUUUUAAAAACGAAACCCCGGGGUCGUGUCGAGGUUGUUCAGGAUGAGAACGAAGACACAAGUGUGCGAGAUGAAGUCUUUCAAGUUAGUGAGGUGGUUGAACCAUAUCGAGUUGCUCCUUCGAUUGAAUUGGAAGAAAAUUCAAAUUUUUGUGUUUUCGAUGAUAGUCUUGUUGAUGUUGACGCAGAGGAGUUGAAUUUUGUUUUGAGCUCUAGCGGACAAGCAAAUGUCGAUGAAGAAGAUGAUAUUCAUAUUGAAGAUUGCGAUAAAGGUGAUGACAAUUCAAUUGAUGACGAAGAAGAAGAAAAUUCUGACUAACUACCAAAAUGAAGCCCUAUGUAAAACCAUUUUUUCAUGUAAUUUAGAUUAUGGAUGAUAUAUUUUGAAAUACAAAAUAUUUAUUACUUGAAAUAAUUAGUUGAAAUGCCACAAUUACGAAAUAAUUAUUGAUCAUGGAUGAUAUAUUUUGUGACAUGAAAUAAUUACUUGAAAUGUCACCACAUCACCGACGUCCAUACCGAUGGGCUUAAGUCCGUCGGCAUUUCACAGAGAGUUCGAAAAUAAUUACUUGAAAUGCCACCACAUCACCGACGGCCACACCGACGGGCUUAAGUCCGUCGGCAUUUCACAGAGAGUUCGAAAAUAAUUACUUGAAAUGCCACCACAUCACCGACGUCCAUACCAACGAAGUUAUAUCCGUCGGUACCUUGUCGUCGGGUCAAUUUUCCGACAAAAUUACCGACGGACCGCGUGAAUUUCAAAGGGUUGGGCAUUAAAUGCAUCUCUGACCGCUUCAGCUUGCCGACGGAUUUACCGACGGACAAUGAAAAAUAUGGAGGGUUAUUGAAAAAUUUGGUGCGAAAUUCAAAAUUUACCGACGGAUUUUUAACACCUUACCGACGGAAUAAAUUAAAAUAAUAAUUAAUUUUAUAUCCGUCGGUGAAUCCGUCGGUAAAACUGGCAUUUAAGUUCCCCCCACCGCCUCUUCAGUUCAUUUUUUCUUCUCCUCAGUUUUUCACCGAUUCUUUUCCUCUUGGUUCUUCACUCCGUUCUUCAAAGGUUUCUUCAAAGGUUUCACAAGCGAUCUCUAGCAUUUUAUCUCGUGAAUCUCCAUCAGUUUAAAAGGUUUGUAUUUCUUCUAUUUCAUUUUACUUUAAGGUUUUUUUUUUUUGCUAUUUUUUUUGCUAUGUUUUUUGUUUUGGUGGAUUUUUUGUAAUGUAGAUAAAGUCUAUAGUUUUUGUUGCAUAAUUCAUUGCUAAAGUCUAUAGUUUGUUUUUUGAAUUUAUUGAAUAUUUUUUAUUGUUGUAUUGGCAUAAUUAACCGAUGCUGCGUCUUCCAGCGGUACUUCACAGCGCAGAGGCGGCGUGCCUUCGCAGCGGAAUCAAUUUACCCGCAAGUACGAGGCACAGUGGAAGGACGACCUUUCAAUGUAAGUUUGUUAAGGUUUUAGUUUUUUUUUAAAAAAUUACAACAUAAUUUAUGAAGUAAUCACUAUUGAAUUUAUUUCAUUUAUUUUUAGGUUCACAAACAUUGAAGCCGCCCGAGUAAUAUCAUCGGCGUUUAAAUCGUCGAUGGAGAUUCCAUUGUUUCAAUGGAGUCAGAUAUCCAAGCAUCCUGAAUGGAUGCCUCAAAUCAAUGCAUGGUUUAACAGGUUUGAGGUUGGUAUUAAUUUAUAAUUUUCAGCUUAUUAAUAUAAUUGUAAAUAAAUUAUUAUUUUUAUUUAAACUUGUUUAUUUAUACACAGCACAAAUUCUGCUGGGACAGUGAGCAUAACACUGUUGUAAGGAGGGUGUGGGAAAAUCACGCGGCAACUAGGUAAGAUCGAAAACAAUACAAGAUUUUUUUAGACAAAAAUUUAUGUUUCGAAAUGUAAUUUUUGGUUGCGUGAAGUAGGUUGCGUGAUUUUUGGUAUGAAGCACAAAAAAAGGCAAAAACAACCGCGAGGGAUAGGGGUUUCCAAGGUUGGAAUGAUGUUGCGGUUUGGAGGGAUUUCAAACCGAUAUACAUCUCGGAAGAUAUAUGGCCGCACUAUCUUGAGCACGUGACGUCUGAGCAGUUCACACGACGCUCACAGUCCGGUGCUGGCAACCGGAAUCGGCCAAUUCAUGGCGGGGUGACAACGCACACUGGCGGCUCCGUUUCGUUUGCUGCACAUGCGAAACGGAUGGUAAGAUUAAUUUAAAUGAAAUAUAUCGUUAAAUUCAGUUGUUGUUAAUAUAUCUUUUUUCAUUAUAGGCUGCGUCUCUUGGACGUGAGCCGAGCCCGAUGGAGCUGUUUGUGGAGACGCACGUGCGGAGUCAAGACCGCCAGAAGGGGGCGCAACAGUUCGUUGAUAACCGUGCUAGCCAUUUCGUGGUAUGUUUGUUCAACCAUUUUAUUUUGUAAGUUAUUAUGUUUAUUGUAUUGAAUAUGAUGAUAACUUUUUUAUUUUAUUUUCAGGAGACCUAUAAUAAUCGGUUGAGGGAGAGAUACGGGGACGAUAUUUUGACCCAUUCGGAAUUCGAUCCGGAUUUGUGGAUGGAGGUUGGCUCGUCAGGUGGACCCGAUAAAAAUCGGGUUUACGGGCUCUCCAACACUACGGCCGACAACUUGCGGUCGACACGUAGUGUUUCAACCGUUGGGAGCUCCCAAUCAAUAUCGAGCUCCCAAUCUAAGGAGUUUGUGGCCUUGCAGCAACACACGGCUCAGCUCACCGACAAAUACGACCACCUAUCAGCGGAGUACGCACAACUCAAAGCGUCUCAUGCACAACAAAGAGCGAAGUCUGAGCAAAUCAAAGCAUCUCAAGCACAACAAAAAGUGGAGUAUGAACAACAAAAAGCGGCUUAUGAACAACAAAAAGCGGCUUAUGAACAGCUUCGCGAAAUGGUUAUGAACAUGGCAAAUAGUGGAACAUGUGCGCCUAAUCCUUUUUGGCCGUAUAACCACCAGCCUCCUCCAGGAUCUCCUCCUCCUCCUCAGCUCCACCUUUAUAUUAAUUUGUAAUAAACAUUAUUUACCUUUAAAACUUCAUUUAAUAUUUUUCUUGAAACAUAUUCAGUUUGUAAUGAAUAUUAUUUCACUUUGUUUUUUUUUUAUGUUUAAUAUAAAUUUUAUUUGCAUAAUUGGUUUGUAUUACAAUUAAUUUAUAUAGUUUUAUAUUAUAUAUCCUAAAUAAUUUUUUAAAAACAAAUUCAGAAAAAAAACUAUUACCAAGGAUUUUACCGACGGAUUAAUUUGGUCGGUAUUUUAAACACUCACCGACGGAAUUAAUCCGUCGGCAUUUAACAGUAGCUGCCACUAGUACCAACGAAUUGACAAACGGAUAUAUUCGGUCGGUAUUUCAUACACUCACCUACGGACUUACCGACAGAAUUAAUCCGUCGACAUUUAACAGUAGCUGCCACACGUACCGACGAAUUUACAGACGGAUAUAUUCGGUCGGUAUUUCAUACACUCACCGACACAUUUACCGACGGUUAGUAGUCGUCGGUAAAUCAUAAUAUCACCGACGGAAUAAAAAUCCGUCAGUAUAUUUCAAGCGGGAAUCUUUUUUUUAGCGCGCCAAUUCCGUCUGUAAAACAAUCAGAAAAUGGUUUUUUUGUUUUUCCGACCGAUAUAGCGACGGAAGAGGGAAUCACCGACGAAAGAAAAGCCGACAGACGUAUUCCGUCGGUGAUUACAUCGGUAAAAAAAUCACCGACGAACUUCUAAUCACACACCGACGGAAUAUUUUCGUCGGUAAAACUGUGAAAUCUUGUAGUGUGUGAAGAUCCUGAACAACUCAACAGGAAACGGAGAGGAGUUCAUCAAUGAAGUGGCAACAAUGGGAAAGAUCCAUCACGUCAACGUUAUACGCUUAGUUGGUUACUGUGCUGAUGGAUUUCGAAGAGCUCUAGUCUAUGAUUACCUGCCAAAUGAAUCACUAGAGAAAUUUGUAUCUUCAGAACAUGGCGAAACCUCCAGUCUUAGCUGGGAGAAGCUUCAGGAUAUUGCUCUUGGCAUGGCUAAAGGCAUCGAAUAUCUUCACCAAGGCUGUGAUCAGCGAAUCCUCCAUUUCGACAUCAAACCUCAUAACAUCUUGUUAGAUGACCAUUUCAAUCCAAAGAUUUCUGAUUUCGGUCUGGCAAAGCUGUGCUCCAAGGAUCAGAGUGCCGUGUCCAUGACUACAGCUCGAGGAACCAUGGGGUAUAUUGCACCUGAAGUUUUCUCUAGGAACUUUGGGCAUGUUUCCUAUAAGUCUGAUGUUUAUAGUUUUGGAAUGGUGUUGCUCGAAAUGGUCGGAGGGAGGAAGACUAUCGAUGAUAAGGUAGAGAACAGCAACCAAAUCUACUUCCCAGAAUGGGUCUACAACAGCCUGGAUAAAGGAGAAGAGCUGAGAAUCAGAAUUGAAAAGGAGGGGGACGCGCAAAUCGCAAAGAAGCUGACUCUUGUAGGACUAUGGUGCAUUCAGUGGCACCCCGUGGAUUGUCCGUCCAUGAAUACUGUCGUGCAAAUGUUGGAAGGAGAAGGAGACAAGUUAACAAUGCCUCCUAGCCCUUUUGCUUCUGCAGGUCCUGGAAGAAUGCAUGCAAAUAUGCCAGGGAGACCUCAUUAUCAAGCGUUGGAGGUGAUCUCUGAAACAGAGUAAGCAUGCAAUGAUCAAGUAGUCAAGUAGAAGGGCUACGCAAACAUAUCUGCAGAGAGUGAGGCGUUCUAUAAUCUUUGAGGGUGUGUAAUAUUUGUCCAACUGAAAGCAAGGCAUGUAAUAUAAUCUUCGUACAUUGAACAAUGAUGGUGUUUCGGAUGUAUUACUGACGCCAAUAUGAUCAACGCAAACUAAGUAUAAAUAUUUGAACUUUAUUUUUUUGGUUCUCAAAGUGAUAAGAAUGGCUGUCAUUUCUUGAAUCAAAAGCAUAGGCUCACAAUGAUUGAAUAAUAAAUAAAUGUCAUUAGCAUAUCAUAUUAUUCAUUAUUUGUUUUAUGAAAUAUAAUGUGAGUAUUGUAUAAUACAAUUUGUUAAAAUAUAUUGAUAGAUUUAGAUUAGUUUACUCAUAUGAGUAAUUACCUCUAACGCUUGUAAAGUGAGUGGAGAUGAAACUAUUUGAGUUUUAAUGCUCAAUAAACGACUUGAGUGUAGCGGGAGCAAUUUUAACUCAAAGUAAUUCUUAAAAAGUCAUCUUGAUUGAGACUAAGAUGAGGUUCUUAAAUAAAAGAAUUGACAUGAAUGAAUUCCCACCAUUCAUGUCUUUAUUAUGAUUGAAGCCGAGUAUGAAAUUAUUCAUUUGCCACUAAUGAUAGUGAGCAAAUGAGAAUUUCUGAUUUGAAAUCUAUGUUUUUUGACGACAAGACUAAGACUUGUAUGGUGUAUUUCCUUUAACAAAAAGUAUAACGACAUACUCAUUUGUUUUCAGAAAAGAAAAAAGUAAGCUUCACUAUAGCAUGUAUUUCAUACUACAUGUGCUUACAACCAUUACAAGAAUAAAGAAUGGAUCUCUUUUUUUUUUAUUAUGUGAGUCCUGGAGAUCAUAUCUAAGAUCUCAAAAUCUUACUCUUUAUGACUUUUGAAUGAUCGCUACUUUAGGAGUAUAUUCUAUAGUCAUGGAAUGAUUUGACUUAAAGGAAUACUCUUAGGAAAUCGAGUUAAUUCAGAUGUGAUUGAUAUGAGUGCAAAAGAAAAGAUAAUUUUAGUUAUACACCUGUUACUUGUAUUCACCAGCCGAGAUCAUAUCAUUCUAAUAAAUUUGCUAUGGUUUAGAAUACUUGUAAUUGUAAAGAUGGAUUGGGUAUGAAAUUCUUGAGGGAUUGAAUUAUAUUCAGUCAUGUAUAACUAAAAAUACUUGGGCUAUAUUAUUACACUUUAAGAAAUAAUUAAUUAUGAGGUUGAUGUCUCCUAUAUAGUCUGUAUUAGGCUUAUAUAUUGGAGCUCCUUUCACUGUAUGCUUCAGGUCGCAUGGUCCGUUCGUCAAGUAUGAAAUUCUUGUGCAAGUUUGAAAUAUAAUGUAUUAGAUAUAGAUUCAUUCCUUCAUGGGCUAGUGAGAGAUGUUGGCUAUUGGGUUGGGCUUGGUCCGCCCAUAAGAGAUGGGUCUAGUUCAAGUAUUUAGAGGAAUUACUAAAAACAAUAACCGCUUCCUCUACUUAUAUAUAAAGGGACAUAACCAAUAUGAAAAAAAAAGGUUUUUCAUUUUGUUAAAAGAACAUGGUUAUCUCUUUCUCUUCUCCCAUCUUGAACUCUCUGCAUUAAUUUGACAAGAUCUAUAGAAAUAUUUGUACUGUGGAAUAUCACUUUGAUUCUAGUAAUUGAAGUGGAAUUGAAGUAAUCAAUUUAGGGAUAAGAAAGUAAAUUCUCACAAGUAAGUUUCUUUUCAAAUCUACACCCAUCAUAAAAUCUAAUGAGCCGGAUGAUGUUACCAUGGUGAAUCCUUCCUAUGGUGGCAACUUCAUUGAUGAAGUCCUGACCAUUUGCUUUCGACUUGCCUAACAUCUUUAUUGCAAUAGAAUUCCCAUUUCGGAGCAUGCCAUUAUAUACGGAGCCAUAACUGAAGUUAUGGCACCAAAGCUGAAAUUAAUGUCUCAGCCAUAUGCUAUCUUUCAUUAAUGUUUAUUUGUUAGUAACAUCAUUAUCUUAAUGUUGUUUAGUCAGUUUUACUUCUUAAUAUUUGAAACUUAUUUAGGAUAAGUUACAUAACUCUUUAAAUGGAGUUUAUGUUAGUUAAGUUUUUUAAUUGUGUUGUGAUUAAUUUCAUCUAUAAAUAAAAGCUAAGGGAUGCCAGUACCCCAAGAAAACCAUUCUGCUCUUUGUUCUUUGCUCCAAGUUCUAAGGGAUGGCAGUAACCCAAGAAAAACAUUCUGCUCUUUGUUCUUUGCUUCAAGUUCUCUGUUCUUUGUUUUUCUGGUUAUCAUCAACAUUCAGUUCUUUAUAUACCUAUUAUUAACAAUUGGUAUCAAAGCAUUCUUUGAUCUUUGAAGGGAUUGUGAGUGAAACACGAGAGAUUAAGUGAGUUUUUUUUAAGAAAUGGAUUCUGCAAAUUUUCCAGCAAAAACACCAGUAUUCACAGGGCAAAAUUUUGGUGUGUGGACUGUGAAAAUGGAAACUUAUCUCAAAGCUUUUGACUUAUGGGAGAUAGUGGAGAGCGAUAAGCCACCAACUCCACUAGGAAACAAUCUUACGAUCGCACAUAUGAAGUUUUUUAAUGAAGAAAAGGCAAAGCGAUUCAAAGCUCUUACCUGUCUUCAUAAUGCUGUUAGUGAAGACAUUUUCACAAGGAUCAUGGCGUGUAAAUCUGCCAAAGAAACAUGGGAUAAAUUAAAAGCAGAAUUUCAUGGUGAUGAGAAGUCAAUGAAGAUGUAGAUUUUAAAUCUUAGAAGACAGUUUGAAGGUUUGAAAAUGAAAGAAAAUGAAACCAUCAAAGACUUCUCUUCUCAAAUUUCAAAACUUGUGAAUCAAGUGUAACGUUUUGAAUUAAAGAGAGGAAAAGGCUAUAAAGCUCUUGAAGGCUUAGAUGUAGGAAUAAAUGAAUGAAGAGUAUUGUAGUAAUUCAACAAACUUGAUAAAUAUAAAUAGAAAGAAAAAAAAAACUGUGUUUUAAGAGUGAAAAACUGACGGGAGAAGAGAAGAAAAGGGGAAGAAGAAAAAGAGAAAAGAGGGAACUUAGAAGGGAAAUAUAAAGGAAUUGAAGAAAUAAGUUUAAAGGUAAGAUUUAGGUUGUUAAAUGUAUAAAUGUAUGUUAAUUGAACUUUAAUUUCAGUUUUGAUGAAUGUUAGGGUUUUGAAAAUUUGUGUUUUGGGUUUAAUUGAUGAAUUAAAUUGAAUGUUAUGGGGUUGAUUGUUGUGGGUAAUUGAUUAUUUAGUUGAUUAUGGAAGAUUGUGAUGAUUUUGAGUUAUGAAUUGUGUAAAUGGUGAAUUUUGAGUUAGAAAUCUGGAAAGAAAAGUAGGUUUUCUGUUGAAAUUCUGGGUCGGAGGUUGAAGAUGACAAAAUUUUGGUUUGGUCCCUCAAUUUUGGAAAAUUACAGUUUAGUCCCCAAACUUUGGAAAAUUACAUAUUGGUCCCUGGAGCAUAUUCCGAGAUUCUGAACAGAAUAAAAGAUGAAUUAAGGGCAGAAUUCCAGUAUAGUUAUGAAAUUUUAACACUUUCAAUUUGGUCCACCAAUUUGACAAAAAUUACAAUUUGACCCUAAAAAUUUGGUAAAAUUCCAAAAUGGUCCCUGGAGCAUAAUGAGAUAUUCUGGACAGAAUUGAGGAUUAAUUAUGGUCAGAAUUUUAGUAUAGUAAUGGAAUUAUGAUAUUUUUAGUUUGGUCCUUCAAUUUGACAAAAGUUACAAAUUGACCCUUAAAAAUAUGAUAAAAUUCAGAUUAGUCCCUAGCUGUAAUAUUAGCUUUUAUAGAUUGUUUUGAUGAGUAAUUGAGGGUUAAUUAGUGAAUUAAUACCAAUUUUAUUAUUUGUUUUAUUAUGGAUUAGAUUUCGGGAAAACCGUUAAAUUUUGGAUUGUUGGGAAAAUUGACUAGUUAGUUCAAAAACAUAUAGGGUUAUGGAAUACACCCUUAGUUAAGUGUAUUAAAUAGGUUAAAUGUUCUUUUGAGUCAUUCUUGAACGUGUCUCCUUUGUAUUCAGAUAAUCCUGAUAUUCUACCGGCGGGACGUCAGUAGGAUUUCCUUCAGUAUCUGCUUUUGAGUGCUGUUUGCUUUUGAGUCAGGUGAGUGGAUAAUUUUCCAUAUGCAUGAGAAAUAUUAUAAAUAUUUGAUUUGUUAAUAUGAAUUGGAUCAUGCUUCUUGAUAAUAUAUAUGCUGAUUAUUAUCCUUGUUAUGAUAAAGCAUGAUCAAUUGUUGAAUCUGAAUUCUUGAUAUGAACCAGUAUAUAUUUUGAAUUGACUUCUGAAUUGAUAGCUCCUCAUUUGAUUGAUGUCAUGAGUUGAGCUUUGAGAUAUGAAUAUGUUUGUUUGAUUAUGAUUAUGAACCUAUGGUAUGUCAGUCAGAAUACCCAUGCUAACAGGGUAGUGUUAGUCUUUGUGCAGAUCGUAUCUGAACCCUAGUUGGUCGGGGGAGUCACCAACCUGUGUGGACUGAUCAUCCCACAGUACGGAGCCUCAUGCUCAUUGCAUUUUGAUUUUCUGACGAGUUUUACCAUAUGAUAUUCUUGUUAUGGCCAAUUUGAGAAACAUUUCUAAAAGAACCUAAAGCCAUACUUAUAUAUAUAUUUCUCAUUGUUGUAUUACCUCGUAUGUGUAUAUUGAACAUUAUCUACUCACUGAGUUGUUGAACUCACCCUCUCAUUAUUUACCUUUUCAGGCUUAUAGCUUGAUAGUAGGUCACUUAUGUUGAACCUUCCGAACCUGCUCUUUUCGUUGUAAUUUAUACAUUUUCCUUUAUGUCUAGUUAGUGCUCCAAAACUAUGAAAUUAUAUUAAGACAAUCAAAUUAUAUUAUAAAGUUAGUUUUGUUGUUACUGCUGUGUUGAACUUUGAUUGACUUAGUUGAAGGAUAAGUUUGUAUGUAAAUUUGGGUUCGCAUAGGUAUGGAACCUUGGAGGGGAACCUUGCCUAUGUGUCGGUCAUGGAUUCGGGAUUCGGGUCAUGACAUCAAGUGAGACUUUUGGGAGAAGAUUUUCCAGAUUAAAGAAUAGUAGAGAAAGUUCUGAUAAGUCUACCAGAAAUAUUUGAACAUAAAAUUUGCUCUUUAGAAGAUUCUAAAGAUUUCUCUAAAAUGAGCCUGUAAGAACUGGUAAAUGCAUUGCAAGCUGUGGAGCAAAGUCAAGCUUAUAGACAAGAAGGAUCAAGUGAAGGAGCUCUUGUUGCAGUUUACAAGGAGAAGAGUCGGGCUAAGAAUUUUUACAAAAACAAUCAAGAAGGAAAAAGAGAAAAAAGGAAAGGUUGGCAAUCCAAUAACUGGCAACAAAACAGCAACAACAACUUCAUUAGAGGGAAAUAGAAGAAAGAACAUUUUCCUGCUUGCAAAUUCUGUUAGAAAACAAAUCAUUUUGAAGCUUGGUGUUGGCUCAAGAAUGCACAAUGCUGAAACUGCAAGCAAUUUGGUCACAUUCAAAGAUUCUGCAAAAAUAAAGUAGAAAUAGUAAAACAAGCUCAAGUAGUUGAUUGUUCAAAAGUCAAGGAAGAUCUUUUAUUCAUGGCUACAAUACAGGAAAUGUGUAACACAACAAAGGCAAACGACUCAUCAUGGCUCAUUGAUAGUGGCUGCACUAACCACAUGACAACAGAUUUGAACUUAUUCAGAGACUUGGAUAAAAGUUAUCUAUCUAGAGUCAGAAUUGACAAUGGAGACUAUGUGAAGGUUGAAGGAAAAGGAGCAAUUGAAGUAGAAACAUUGUCAGGUACAAAAACUCUUAAAAAUGUUCUUUAUGUACCUAAGAUCAAUCAGAAUCUAGUUAGUGUAGGACAAUUAAUUGAAUUUGGUUACUUAAUAUUCUUUAAUGAUGGAGUAUGUGAUAUUAAAGAUAAAAAUGAAGUGCUACUGCUUUCUGCAAAAAUGAUGAACAAAAGUUUUAAUGUUGAUUGGAGAGAAAUAUGUUUGAGUGCUAACACUUAUGAGAACAAUGAAUCUGUUCUUUGGCACAAAUAGUUGGGGCACUUCAAUUAUGCAACUUUAAAGAGAAUGGCUGACCUGCAGAUGACUCACGGUUUACCAGAUAUACAGGAACAAAAGAGUAUUUGUGAAGCCUAUCAGUUAGGAAAACAAACUAGAGUUGUUUUUCCGGACAAUGCAUAUAGAGCACUGUCAAAACUCCAGCUUGUACACACAGAUGUGUGUGGGCCAAUGCAUAAUGAAUCAUUGAAUGGUUUAAAGUAUUUUCUUCUAUUUGUUGAUGAUUAUAGUAGGUACUGCUGGGUUUACUUUCUGAAAUCAAAAUCUGAUGUGUUUGCUGAGUUUGUUAAGUUCAAAGCAGCAGUUGAACUACAAACAGGAAACAGAUUGAAGAUAUUGAGAUCUAACAAUGAAGGAGAGUAUACCUCUCGACAAUUUGAGGCAUACUUGGUAAAAGAAGGGAUCAAACACCAACUGACAGUUCCCUACACUCCACAACAGAAUGGAGUCAGUGAGAGGAGAAACCGAAUAUUGAUGGAAAUGGCAAGAUGUUUGCUAUAUGAGAAGAAAAUGCCAUUAAAAUUCUGGGCAGAGGCAGUAAACACAGCAUCUUACCUUUUAAAUCGUAUGACCACAAAAGUAUUGGGAGACAAGACUCCUUAUGAAAUUUGGUAUGGCUUUAAACCCAAUGUUGAUCAUUUAAAAGUUUUUGGCAACCCUUGCUAUGUCUUGCAACCUGAAGUUAAGAGAACAAAACUUGAUUAGAAGGCUGAUAUGGGAAUUCUUAUAGGCUAUAGCACAAAAUCUAAGGCUUAUAAAAUCUAUGAUCUGAAAUCUAAUAAAGUUGUGAUUGCUAGAAAUGUAAAAGUUGCAGAGAAUGGUAUAUGGAACUGGGAAGCUGCAUCAAUUGAAGGGACAAAACAGGAGUAUCAAAUUGAACUGGAUGCUAUAGAGGAUGAUGAUACUAUCGAUGACAAACCAGUAAGGGGGACAAGAUCCUUAGCUGACAUUUACAGCGGGUGCAAUGUUGCUAAAGCAAAACCAAUAGAUUUUAAAGAAGCUAUCAACUCACAAGUAUGGAUAGCUGCAAUGAAGAAGGAGCUCACAAUGAUAGAAAAGAAUGAAACAUGGAUACUGGUUGACAGACCCGUUCACAAGAAGGUAGUUGGUGUGAAAUGGAUUUUCAAAACCAAGUUGAAUGCAGAUGGGAGUAUCAACAAGCACAAAGCAAGACUUGUAGUGAAUGGUUAUUCACAAGAGCCAGGUAUUGACUUCACUGACACAUUUGCUCCAGUAUCUAGGCUUGAUACAAUAAAGCUCUUGCUUGCUCUAGCAGCACAAAAUGGUUGGCAUAUUUUUCAAUUAGAUGUUAAGUCUGCAUUUUUGAAUGGUGUUCUAAAUGAAGAAAUAUAUGUUGAACAACUUGAUGGCUUUGAAAAUAAGAUCACAUCAAACAAAGUAUAUUUGCUAAAGAAGGCUUUGUAUGGACUUAAACAGGCUCCUAGAGCCUGGUACAUCAGAUUGGAUAGGUAUCUUUUGAGCUUAGGCUUUGAAAGAAGCAUGAAUGAAGUAACUUUGUAUGUGAAAAAUGUUGACAAACAUACUCUAAUCGUAUCAGUUUAUGUAGAUGAUUUAUUGAUUGCAGGAGACAAGAAGCAGCUGGUAGAGGAGUUUAAAACCAACAUGAAGGAUAAGUUUGAGAUGAAUGAACUUGGUUUGCUGUCAUACUUCUUAGGCAUGGAAGUAACUCAGUCGGAGCAAGGUUAUUUCCUAUGUCAAAAGAGGUUUACAAUGAAGCUACUAAACAAAUUUGUAAUGGAAAAUUGCAAACCAGUCAGUACACCUAUGGUACUGGGACAAAAGCUAAUGAAGGAGGAUGGAGCUCCCAAAACUAAUGGAAAAACCUACAGAAGUUUAGUUGGUAGCUUGUUGUAUUUAAUUGCUACACGUCCAGAUAUUGUUUUUGCAGUUAAUUACCUCUCUAGGUUCAUGCAAAGUCCAAGUCAAAUCCAUUUUGUUGCAGCCAAGAGAGUUCUGAGAUAUCUGAAAGGGACAUUAGAGUUUGUCAUGCAUUUUGUGAAAUCAAGUUUUGUUAAACUAAUUGGUUUUUCUGAUAGUGAUUGGGCUGGAAGUGAUGAGAAAUGAUGAGCACCUCAGGUUAUUGCUUUGCUAUAGGAGGAAGCAUUUUCUGUUGAAACUCAAAGAAGCAAUCAGUGGUUGUAUAUUCCACUGCAGAGGCAGAAUACAUAACAACAUAUGUGGCAGUAAAGCAAAUGAUAUGGCUAAGGAAAAUGCUGAAUGAUCUAGACUUUGAUCAACGAAGUCCCACAGAAUUGUUCUGUGACAAUACAUCAGCAAAAGCUAUUUCAAAGAAUUCUGUUUUUCAUAACAGGACCAAGCAUAUGAAGAUCAAGUUCCAUGCUAUCAGGCAAUUCCAGCAAGAAGGGGAACUAGAGCUGAUAUACUGCACUUCAAAAGAGCAAUUAGUAGACCUGUUCACCAAGCCUUUAGCUAAAGAUAGAUUUGAAGAUCUAAGGGAGAGGAUAUGAAUGUGCAGCUUCGGAACCAAGGAAGAGUGUUGAAGUUGUUGCUACCCAAUUUUUGACCCAUGUUUUGAUAAUUUUUCAGAAAAAACCAAAAAAUAGCAAAAAAACAAUGAAAACCCAAAAAAAUGCAUUUUUGAUAUAUUUGCAUCGUUUUUAGCAUUUUCAACGUCAUCUCAAAAGAAUUUAAAUUUUCAAAGGUAUUUGGAACGCGUUCAACUUUUAACGCGUAAAUUUUAUGAUCACUGAUUUUCCUUGUUGAGUUGACGUUGAUAUUGCUCGCUUUCAAAAAUACAAAAAAAUAAGAAAAAUCAAAAUUUACAAAAAAAAGAGGAAAAGAGAAGGAAAGGAAAAGUUGAGGGACUAGUUUGAAAACCUAGCAAAACUUUUCCUAUAAAUACCAUGCUACACUAAAUUUCCCAAGGGGGGGAUAAUUCUGGAAACAUCAGAAAAAAUACAAAAAAAAACCUAACCCUAAACCUAUCCUUUUUUCAAGAGGAGCCGCCCCACACGUUUUUGGUUUUCCUCUUCAGCCGGAUCCACCAUCUUCUUCACCUCCCNNNNNNNNNNNNNNNNNNNNNNNNNNNNNNNNNNNNNNNNNNNNNNNNNNNNNNNNNNNNNNNNNNNNNNNNNNNNNNNNNNNNNNNNNNNNNNNNNNNNGCCACCACAGCUCUCCUUUUCCUUCCUGCUCCCAGCACCUCCCUUCUUCUUCUUGCUCUCUCGGCCAACCACCGUUAUUCCCUCCUUUCACUGCCGACACUGUUCCCCUCUCCAUCUCACUUCCUUCUCCCACAACCAACAGACCCAGCAGCCCCUAGCCAUCGCCAUUUUUCCUGCAGAAUCAAGGACCACUCACACCGAAGCCUUCCCCCAGCAGGUAUUUCCUUCCUCAGCAGCCGGCAACAAGGGACAGCUCCCUCUCUUUCAAAACCAAACCGGGGCAGCCCCCCUCCCUUUCCUCUGAUCUUCAACAACAGCCGCAGCAGCUCCCUGCCACAGAGCAGCCUCAUCUUCCCCGACCAGAGAACGGGCAGAGCCGUUCCCCAUCUCCUCAGACCCACGGCUCCCGCUUCAGCCAGCAGGUCUUUCCUUCCUCAGCCGCCGAACAGCCUCCAGCGGCAGCAGCAACCCACAGGCCAGCAGACCCCGCUCACCGCCUCCAGCAGCGACACCACUCCCUCGUCUGUUCCUCCUUGCCGCGCAGCACAUGGAACAGAGGAGAAGAAGAAGAUGACCGAAGGAGACCGAUCUGCAGUGAAGCAGAUCCAAAAAACCGAAUGAACCAGCUCUGAGAAGGAGAAGAGAGAACUAAAAUCGACGGCUUUGUUGUGUUUUGGUUGUUCUUGCAUGUCACCGCCGGCGUAGGAAGACAGAGGGGAAGAAGACAUUCCAGAUCCCCUGUAUUUUGGAGUUUCCGGCGGCGGCGCGUGAACCCACGCGCCGCCGCUGUUCCUGCGGCACUGUUCCGGCUUGCAGAAGUCCUUCCUUGCAAUUUCUGGAGUUUUAGGGACCAUUUUUGUAAUUUUUAAAUUAUGUAAUGUAAUUUUUGUUUAGUGUUGAAUUUUUUUAAUUUGUAAUGUGGAUGUACAAAAAAAAAAAGGGAAAAGAAAAGAAAAGAAAAAAGAAAAGUAUAGUGAAAGUGAAUGUGUGAUUUGAAUUUUAUUUAUGAAUGUUUUUUUCCUAUGAUAAAAUUGCAAGAAUAAAGAAGAAUUUAAUAUUUUGAUUUCUUCACGGAUAAAGAAUUAUGAACUUACAUGUAAGUCGUAUUUCUAAAAUUCGAUGAAAGAACAGAAUUUUUAAAACUUCUUUAACACAUCAAGUCCACGAAGCAGCUUACCUCAGGUAGGGUGCGUUAGGGGUGCUAAUACCUUCCCUAACCACAACCAGUCCCUUACCCGCAAAUCUCUGAUAAGACCAGUACCCGGGUUUCCUAGUAGCCUUCAGUUAAAUACUAGGUGGCGACUCCAACGAACCAAUCAAAUCAAACAACAAACGAAAAAUCACCAGCCUAUGCCGCGCGGAUUUUCUGACGUGCGACAGAAUGGCGACUCCACUGGGGAAGGUAUUGUUUUCAACUUUAUUGGACUAAGCUUUGUGUUUUUGAUGUGUUUAAAUUUUUUGCUUUUUGUCUUAUUUUUUUUUAUUCAUGCAUUGUGUAGAAUUGUCUCAUGCAUCACAUGUUUUAAUUUUUGAAAGCACACACAAGCUUCAGGUUAGGUGGGGGACUAGCAGCUUGCCUUAUGACUUGAGUCAAGGUUUAAGUUUGUGUAAACCCCAACUCUUUGCUGAGUGUUUAGACUGAUAGUGAUUGGUACAUGUGUCAUCCCACUAUCUGCUGAACCCCCAUAUUGCCUUUACAAGGGCGAUCACUGGGACAGCGAGAGACCCUUGUUUAGAGACCAAGUAGUAAACCUACCCUUUGUCUCACGUAAAAAGAUUAGAACCUGCCGUUAGGAUGUAUGCUUCGUAAAUAGUUGUUUUGCAUCUGAGCAAGCCCUUCUUGAAGCAUCUUGAAUUCAGGACUUGUGGGUGACCCAAUGGCCAUCACUCAGAAAAUUUUCAUUGUAGAGUUUGGGCAAGAAUGAGAUUCUUGUUUCAUCAUACAAGAGUUACGACCAUAUGUCACCCCUCGAAGAGCGAGUUCUUCAUAUAGAUUACAUGUUCAUACAUUUAUCAUGCAUGUACCAUGAGGAAAAAUAGGUUCCCCUGUCCGAGGUUUGCUACAUGUGAUUGAAAAAGAUGAUGGAAAUGAAGAAAGAUGUCAGAUAUAGGCUCAUUAUCACAAAGAAAGUUGAGAGCAUCAAAGGGGAAGUAGUUAGGCUCAGAUCUGCCUGAACAAGUGUUGAGCAUCAAAUGGAAAGGGAAUGUCUGCACGGUCUUCUGUGGGAACACUGCUCGUCCACGUCCCAUUGAAGCUGCACCUCUCCUUUUCAGUCAUGAACAACGACAACAAUUCCUUCAGUCAUAACUAAUGACAACUUUUGUUCUCGGUCAAUUGCCCUGUUAAUUGUCCAUCGCCUCCACAUCUUUCAAUGGCACCAAAUAACUACUAGCUUCUGUGCAUGGUGCAUUAGCCUUCUUUGAAGUUACCCCAACUGUGAGCUCAAUUCCAGUUCAGCAGCACAAGAUGUAAAAAAAAAAAACCGAAAAAAAACCAUGAUUAGACACUGAACUUCUAUGUUGCAGAGCUCUCUCUGUAGAGAUUUGUUUGUGGAUCUGCCAGUGGGGAAUGCAAGAGGGGAUGCAGUAUUUUCAUAUGCUACAAAAUUUUGUCUCAUUAGUUUCAGCACUGAAACACUGGAGUAGGCCGAAGAGUCAGACCUAGUCUGAAAACAUGAGCAGUCAUCGAACUUUGACAUGGCAGAGCUCUCUCUACAAAAACCUGUUUAUGGCUCUGCAAGUGGGGAAUGCAAGAGGGGAUGUGGUAGCUUUCAGACGAUAUGAAAAUUUACCCCACCAGUUUCAGCAUCGAAACACUAUAGUGGGCAGAAAAGCCAGACCUGAGCUAGAAAACAGGAGCAAAUAUAGAACUUCACCGUGGCAGAGCUCUCUCUGCAGAAAUUUGUUUGUGGCUCUACAAGUGGAGAAUCCAAGAAGGGAUGCAAUAGUUUCUGAUCAUCUAUAAUUUUCUCUCAUCAGUGUCAGCAUUGAAAUACAAAAGUAGGGAGAAAAGACAAGCCCGGACUAAACAACAUGAAGAAGACUGAAACUUCAAUAGAGGAGAACUCCCUCUACAGGUGUCUGUUUGUUGCACUGUCUGUGAGCAAUCGAAGAUGAGGUAGAAGAGUUUUCGAUUCAUCAGGUUCUCUUCCAAUAAAGACAAUGCGUGAUUCCACAUGUCGCCAGUGGCGAUGCUGCAAGUUUCUGGACGCUGCCAAGAUUACCAAGCUGUUGAAAGGUUUCCGACAACCCUCAACCAACCACAACAACAUUGAAAUAUUGACAUGAAGUUGUGUGGAUUGCCAAAAGAAUUGAGCUAGCUAUCAAGAGAGGAAAGAUUGAAGGAUCUACCAUGGAUUCCAUAACAAUGAUGAGAGUUGAAUCAGAAGAUGACUCUCAAUUGAGAAACCUCAGUCAUUUUGCCUAGUCAGGUCUUGCCAUAACAUCAACUGCUCAAAUGUCUUUGCCAAGAUUGACAUUCAUCUGCCACUCAAGUUUGUCGACCAGCAUCUGUUAGAUUCCAGACUUGUUGCACCCACUUCGAUAAAAUUACAUGUAACCACCGUGGUAUAAUUCAAACGAGAUGUGAAUAUAUCAUGGUGGGUUCCUGGGCCAUUUUAGUUGGACAGAUGCAGGAGUUUCAAGAAUCGAGCUGAGUUUGUGAAAGAUGAUGUCAUCGAUCAUUUUGUCACUAGAACAUCAUCAGAAUAACAAGUGAUCGAAGUUGCUCGGCAAAACACAGAUAUGGCCAGAAAAGCUUAUCCAAGAAUGGUGCUGAAUUGUCCAUCAUUUUAUUGUGGAGUUGUCAUUCCGCAUUUUGUUUUGGGGUCACAUCUCAUCCUUGAACGAAACAUGUCUUUUCUUUGUCUUUUUGUUGUUUUGAAAUCAAGGGAUGCUUCUUUCAAAGGGUAUUUUGACAAAAAUAUUUUUUUGAUCAAACUCCAACAUACAAAAUUAAAGCUAGUCAAUCCUGAACAUUAAAAGUGUUUUGAUUGCGGAAAUGACUUGAUGCUUGAAAAUGACAGGAGGUGACCAAACAAUUUUGAACUCAUACCUUUUGAAACUGAGCCACACAUCAUGUAGCUAGUUUUAGCAGUAUGCAUAAUGACAUGUAGUGGAUUCAAUAGUUAUGGACUCGUGAAUCAUGAUUCUUACAAGUCCAAAUCAUUACACUGGACGAGGUCAAAAUUUAUCGGUUCUAACCGACCUUGCUUGAAAUGAGAAAAGGCCAUCUUUGUUAUCCUUUCACGUUUCUUGAAAUAUUAUCCCUUGUGGUCCCCAUUUGAGCCUGGUAAAAUAUUUUCUUUCAAGAAACCCUGACUAGGAUCACACCCCGCACUGGGGGCAAAUAAGAAAAGACAAAAGUGAAAGAGAAGGCUUAGAACAAAAGUCCAACGUUUGAGAGAGAGUUAAAAGAAAGAAUACCUAGACUGGGGGCAUGUUAGAAAACUAUGAGAAAUGCUAUGUGAAAGCCAUGACCUUUGGCAUCCAUGAUAAAGCCCUGAAGUUAUCAAAUGAUUGAGAUUGAUUAUUCAUCAAAGAAAAAGUUGGAUUUGGAUAUAACCUAUGUUAAGAGAAUUCUGAUAUUUAAGGUUAAUAAGGUUAUAUGUCAUUUCCUCUACAAAGACAACAAUAGAAAAAGAGUUGAUGAAUAGUUUGAUGUUGAUCCUAGGUCUUUGAAACCCUCAAACACCUUUUGAGCCUGAAUUUUCCUUUCUUUCAUAAGCCAUGAACCAUAGCCUGCAUUACGUGCUUUUAAAAGCCCUUUUUUGAUCAAGUAAGCAAUCUGAACCGAUAAAUGGCGAUCUCAAAACUUGAAGAGUUUUUUCCACAAGAGUCGUGGCUUCAUGAAUUAAGCUACUGGUUAUUAUGCAUGCUGAUAAAAUUGGUGCUAAAAAAGAAAACAAUCUUUCUUGAUGAAUCCUCAAGUUUUGACUUGAGCCUUUUGUUUUCCUUGAAAUUCACAGAAGGUCACCUCAUCACAGACCAUCAAAAGAUAUACCCAAGAUCAAAGAUUAAAAUUGACACAAAGAACCAUGAAAAAGUCAUUUUAAUCUUACAACGCGUCAUUUCUGUGUUCAAAAUACAAGGCAAUCAAAGGACUACAUUGAAUAACGUGUGUUGGAUCUUUGACCAAACAAGCUUGAUUUCCAAAAAUACUUUUCAAAAUUGACAUCUCUCUGAUUUCAUUUCAACAAUUAGAUUUGAAUAGACAUGAGCGUUGAAAUAUGAGAUUUGAUUCCAGAACAAGGAAGAUUGUCAAACAAGAAGAACAUCGAUUGAAUUUGCAAAAUCUUUGACAAGAAUAACAUCAACAUUUCUCGACACUCCUUGAAAAGUUGACCACCUAGGGGCAAUACAGUGGAUCCUGGGUAGGAAAACAAACAGUAUUCAGAUCAGCUGGGGGCAAUGAAAGAUGAUCAAAUGAUGAAUCAAUGCACUAAGGACAAUGGUGUUUAAAGAAAGCUAAUCAGCAGGACAAGCAUUCAGAUCAUUAUUGGGGGCAAUGUUGUUUAAAGACAGUCAGUGAUUUAGUGAACUUCAGCAGCAAUUGAAAACAACGUUGCAAUUGAGGGACAACCUCGUAUCUUCAUCUUAGGGUUACCCUCUAAAACAUGGCUAUGACUCCUGACAUAUGUUAUCAGCUUAAAUGCGCACUUCACCACAUGAAUAUGGGUGAUGAACAUCAUAGAUGAUGCCAACGCAUUUCCUUUCAUGAUCUGAUUUGACAAGCUGAGAAGAAUCCAUGAAGAAGAACAUUGAGCUUACAACGAUGAGCCCUUUUUACUGCAAGGUAUAAGAUCCAUGUCUGGAUGACCUGACAAUUCCAAAAAGGCUGGUAAUAACAUAUACUUGAAAAGUAUUGUUUCAACUAGAGGCAAGUUCAUGACUGAUUAACAAUCUUGAUGGGUUGGCAUGAUGCACACAACCAAUCAGAGGAUAAUUCUCAGAAGAAUCCAGGAGAGAAAAUCCUUCAUGAUGAAUCAAGCAACACCACACUUGGGGGCAGAGUCAAGCUUGAUAAACAACAAGAGCAGUAAUCAUCGUAGACAGCCCGAGAUGGGCACUGCACUUACAUUUGAGUGGAAGGCUAGCACGCAAAUAAGCUAAUACAUCGAAAGAACAAAGAAGGCUUUGGAAUGCAAACAAAGGCACCCUAUGAUGAUGGAUCAUCAAAGGGUGGGACCUAUAUUUCACAUCAGGUAAGGAUGCAUGCAUGUCAUCUAACCUCAAAGCAUUGCACAUACUUGUGAUUUGUUACAGAAAGAUCCUCAAUGAAGUCCAGCAAGUUUGUGGACAAAGAAAGAAUCAUUGAGUUGAUGAUGACAAAGAAUCGGUUUAGAUCCUGGAACAAGAAGAGAAUGAGAUGAACCCUGCCAGUAGGAGAAUCUCAAAGAAACGAGGAGAUUAACCCCGUCAUCAAGGAGUCUUCAAGUCAACCUGCAACCAGAAGGUGCCAAGUUUAUCAGCCUUGUCCUGUCAGGACUGCUCCAACCAAGUCUUUUUGCCAAGUAAGUCACAUUCUAUCUUUGGGUAGGUCACCCGUAACAAUGAGACCAUUUUUUUGAAAAACAGAAACAUCAUUUUUUCUGGGUAGGUCACCCAUCACAAUGAGACCACCAUCUUCCAUGUGGGUAGGUCACCCAUUAUAACGCGACCACUUCACAUUUUUUCUAUCUUCCACCUGGGUAGGUCACCCAUUAUAACGCGACCACUUCACAUUUUUCUAUCCUCCACCUGGGUAGGUCACCCAUUACAAUGAGACCACUUCACAUUUUUCUCAUCUUCCAUCUGCGUAGGUCACCCAUUACAAUGAGACCACUUCAUAUUUUUUUUAUCUUCCAUCUGGGUAGGUCACCCAUUAUAAUGAGACUGCACCUCACAUUCUUUCCAUUUGGGUAGGUCACCCAUCAUAAUGAGACCGUUUUUUACAUUCUUUCCACUUGGGUAGGUCACCCAUCACAAUGAGACCAUUUUUUCUGGGUAGGUCACCCAUUAGAAUGAGACCAUUCUCUAUUUUUUUUACUUGGGUAGGUCACCCAUUAUAAUGAGGCCAUUCUUCCCCCUGGGUAGGUCACCCAUAAGAAUGAGACCACUCUUCCCCUUUUCCACUUGGGUAGGUCACCCAUCACAAUGAGACCAUUUUUUCUGGGUAGGUCACCCAUUAGAAUGAGACCAUUCUCCAUCUUUUUUUUACUUGGGUAGGUCACCCAUUAUAAUGAGGCCAUUCUUCCCCCUGGGUAGGUCACCCAUAAGAAUGAGACCACUCUUUCCCUUUUCCACUUGGGUAGGUCACCCGUCAUAAUGAGACCAUCUUUCAUUUUGGGUAGGUCACCCGUCAUAAUAAGACUACACACAUUUUUUAGUUUUGGUUUAAUGAGAUCGCCAGAUGGGAUCUCAUGUAGCUUUGGUUAAAGGAAAUCGCCAGAUGGGAUUUCAGGUUGAUCGAGCUACACACAUUCUUUGGUUUUGGAAAAGGAGAUCGCCAGAUGGGAUCUCAAGAUAAAAAAAAAGAGAAAGAAAGAAAGGAAGAAAGAAGAGGAAGAAAAGAGAAGGAAGAGAGAACAAAAAAAAAAGAGCAAGGCCUUUAGAUGAGUGGAUAUUGAGUGACAGAAAGACAAGUUUUUCUUUACAAAGCUUACUAUGCAAAACAUUGAGGAGUUUGGCUUCGUAAGCAUUGUAAAGAGGGGGCAUCUGUUGCUACCCAAUUUUUGACCCAUGUUUUGAUAAUUUUUCAGAAAAAACCAAAAAAUAGCAAAAAAACAAUGAAAACCCAAAAAAAUGCAUUUUUGAUAUAUUUGCAUCGUUUUUAGCAUUUUCAACGUCAUCUCAAAAGAAUUUAAAUUUUCAAAGGUAUUUGGAACGCGUUCAACUUUUAACGCGUAAAUUUUAUGAUCACUGAUUUUCCUUGUUGAGUUGAAGUUGAUAUUGCUCGCUUUCAAAAAUACAAAAAAAUAAGAAAAAUCAAAAUUUACAAAAAAAAGAGGAAAAGAGAAGGAAAGGAAAAGUUGAGGGACUAGUUUGAAAACCUAGCAAAACUUUUCCUAUAAAUACCAUGCUACACUAAAUUUCCAAAGGGGGGGAUAAUUUUGGAAACAUCAGAAAAAAUACAAAAAAAAACCUAACCCUAAACCUAUCCUUUUUUCAAGAGGAGCCGCCCCACACGUUUUUGGUUUUCCUCUUCAGCCGGUUCCACCAUCUUCUUCCCCUCCCAAGCCACCGCAGCUCUCCUUUUCCUUCCUGCUCCCAGCACCUCCCUUCUUCUUCUUGCUCUCUCGGCCAACCACCGUUAUUCCCUCCUUUCACUGCCGACACUGUUCCCCUCUCCAUCUCACUUCCUUCUCCCACAACCAACAGACCCAGCAGCCCCUAGCCAUCGCCAUUUUUCCUGCAGAAUCAAGGACCACUCACACCGAAGCCUUCCCCCAGCAGGUAUUUCCUUCCUCAGCAGCCGGCAACAAGGGACAGCUCCCUCUCUUUCAAAACCAAACCGGGGCAGCCCCCCUCCCUUUCCUCUGAUCUUCAACAACAGCCGCAGCAGCUCCCUGCCACAGAGCAGCCUCAUCUUCCCCGACCAGAGAACGGGCAGAGCCGUUCCCCAUCUCCUCAGACCCACGGCUCCCGCUUCAGCCAGCAGGUCUUUCCUUCCUCAGCCGCCGAACAGCCUCCAGCGGCAGCAGCAACCCACAGGCCAGCAGACCCCGCUCACCGCCUCCAGCAGCGACACCACUCCCUCGUCUGUUCCUCCUUGCCGCGCAGCACAUGGAACAGAGGAGAAGAAGAAGAUGACCGAAGGAGACCGAUCUGCAGUGAAGCAGAUCCAAAAAACCGAAUGAACCAGAUCUGAGAAGGAGAAGAGAGAACUAAAAUCGACGGCUUUGUUGCGUUUUGGUUGUUCUUGCAGGUCACCGCCGGCGUAGGAAGACAGAGGGGAAGAAGACAUUCCAGAUCCCCUGUAUUUUGGAGUUUCCGGCGGCGGCGCGUGAACCCACGCGCCGCCACUGUUCCUGCGGCACUGUUCCGGCUUGCAGAAGUCCUUCCCUGCAAUUUCUAGAGUUUUAGGGACCAUUUUUGUAAUUUUUAAAUUAUGUAAUGUAAUUUUUGUUUAGUGUUGAAUUUUUUUUAAUUUGUAAUGUGGAUGUACAAAAAAAAAAGGGAAAAGAAAAGAAAAGAAAAAAGAAAAGUAUAGUGAAAGUGAAUGUGUGAUUUGAAUUUUAUUUAUGAAUGUUUUUUUCCUAUGAUAAAAUUGCAAGAAUAAAGAAGAAUUUAAUAUUUUGAUUUCUUCACGGAUAAAGAAUUAUGAACUUACAUGUAAGUCGUAUUUCUAAAAUUUGAUGAAAGAACAGAAUUUUUAAAACUUCUUUAACACAUCAAGUCCACGAAGCAGCUUACCUCAGGUAGGGUGCGUUAGGGGUGCUAAUACCUUCCCUAACCACAACCAGUCCCUUACCCGCAAAUCUCUGAUAAGACCAGUACCCGGGUUUCCUAGUAGCCUUCAGUUAAAUACUAGGUGGCGACUCCAACGAACCAAUCAAAUCAAACAACAAACGAAAAAUCACCAGCCGAUGCCGUGCGGAUUUUCUGACGUGCGACAGAAGUUAUGGCACCAAAGCUGAAAUUAAUGUAUCGGCCAUAUGUUAUCUUUCAUUAAUGUUUAUUUGUUAAUAACAUCAUUAUCUUAAUGUUGUUUAGUCAGUUUUACUUCUUAAUAUUUGAAACUUAUUUAGGAUAAGUUACAUAACUCUUUAAAUGAAGGAGUUUAUGUUAGUUAAGUUUCUUAAUUGUGUUGUGAUUAAUUUCAUCUAUAAAUAAAAGCUAAGGGAUGUCAGUAACCCAAGAAAAACAUUAUGCUCUUUGGUCUUUGUUGCAAGUUCUUUGUUUUUUGUUUUUCUGGUUAUCAUCAACAUUCAGUUCUUUAUAUACCUAUUAUCAACAAUAGCCACCCUCACCCAAUUUUUCCUUGAAAUAGCUUGUCAUCUUUUUAAUUUCCGGGUAUGAGUACCUUAUGGGCAUGAAGUUAUGGUGACUUUGCAGAAAAUCUUCGAUAUUGUCAUACGUUGAUAAAUGCCUCCUCCUCCAUUUAUAGAUCAGAAAGAUGAAGACACAUGGAGCCCCGCAUACAAGUCUUAUCGCAAGACAUAAUCCUGCGACGGAACAUCAGAAACCAUAAAUAGGAUGAGAGAUUCUAUAAUGAGAAGCUACCAAAAUAGUCUGAUGCAACAGAAAUAAGCUAAAAAUUUCUUGAUAGCUACAAUUCUAUUUCAGCCCUCAGUUUUAUAGUUUAAUGUUUCCUGAAUAAGAGAAAGUCUAACCAACCAGGCCCGGGAGUGCGUAAUGUACUAUAUCUGCAAGAAGAAUGAUAUCUCCAUUUAUCUUUCAUUAUGUAGUGGAAAUAAUAAACAUCUAUAAAAUUCUUAACAAACAAAUAAAAAAGAAAACAUCAAUAAGAAGGACAGAGAAUCCUCACAGGGACCAAUGAAUGAUACAAUUUGACGCAGAAGAAGCAGGGCACCUAAAUUUUACACAUGAUGAAUGUCAGAUCUUCAAAAGCUGAAGCUAUCAAAACAUAAGAGUAGGCACCACGCUGAUGCAAAUUAAUUCUAUUUACCAUAUAAAGAAACAUGGCAAAUGUGCAAGCAUGAAUUUCAGAAAUAUUGUGAGAAUUCAUGAGGACAGUCAAUAGAAAGCUUACGCACACUGGAAAGAUGCCGCAUGGAAAAUGUUGCAGGGGUUAGAGCAGUUGACAACACGAGUGGUAUUAUCCAAUAAGCAAAAGCCUUGCGCCUUGCAUUCUCUACAGUAUAUAGUAUCCCAUUCUAGCGUCAAACCAUUCACAAGAAUUUUAUGGAUAUCAAUGUAUGACAGGCUCCUUUUGUUAUCUAGCGGAGUUGCCAUAACCACUAGAUCAACGGGGCACGAGUCCCCUACUUCCGAAGCCUUCAUAUCGCCAGAAACAACAUACCGGUAUGCCUUCUUCGAGGACUAGGACGAUAUGCAAGAAUCCUUUCCAGUGAUACAAGAAUUAGUGCUGAUAUAUAGAGGGGACUGCAUAGGAUUCUGGCAACAUAGAAAUAUGUUUUUGCUGGUGCCUUAUAUGAAUGGAAUCAUAUAGGGAUCUCCAUAACUGAAGUUGUUCUCUGACAAAUGAUACAGAGGAAGCGUAGAGCAAUUAUCUUCUUGUAAACCAACAUCAGCUAUCCGAAUCGUUGAAUAUUUGUAAUUGAUCUCCUUCACAUAGUACUUUCCUGAAUACAGGCUUAGAAUUGCACGAUUGUUCUCGCAAGUCAACUGAUAGCUUGGAUCACCGCAGUUUUCCGGGUCGCCUUGUAGUCGAAAAGGGUAGCUAAUGUUAGUAAGGUGGCCACACGAAGAAGGAUGUUCACAAAGAUGAUUUGUUUUAGCAGCACAGGGCUCAUGGUUUAUGAGGAGGACCACAAAAAAGACAGCACAUAGAAGAACUCUACUAAACAUAAUGUCAGAUGGCUCGUUUCAGAUUGAAGGCGGAGACUUGAGGCUAUCUCGUGGCUGUUGUCGGCUAAAGGUUGCCGGAAAUUUGUUGGUGGUUAUUAAAGCCAAAACUUCAUCCAUUUUUUAUUAAAAUUCUGAUAAUUUUCAAAUAAAUAAAGAAGCUAGAGAAGACUUUGAGAUUCUGCAUUUACUUUUAAUUAAUUAAAGACCAAAAGACUGUCAGCUCAAACCUAAGUAAUCAGGUAUUCAUAAUAAUAGAGGGUUUAGAGCAUGGCAGAUUUCCCAGGCCGGCCGGCUGUCACUGGAGUAUCAAAGUCCCAGUCAAAAUGCAAAUACCAAGUGUUAGUUACCUCCGAGGAAAGUUAUAAGGUCCGGAUAGAUUUAUUAUGUCACAAUUUUAAUAUUGAAAAAAAAUAUAUUUUGAAUUUUUAAAUAUUUUUAUUGGAUAUUUAAGUUAUUUUUUUAGACCUAUCAAAUCAAUUGAAUCAUGUAAAGUCAACUUUCAUACCGAUUAAUUUUAAAUUCAAGCUAGACAAGAAGUCAGGUUGAAAAGUUUUAAAGUUAACCCGUUAGAUUUGGUUUAAUGAAAAUACCAAAUAGUUUUUUUUUUUUAAAAGAAUUCUAUCAUCUUUUUUUUUUCCUUUUAUUGAAUUAUUUUUUGUUUUUUUUUUAUUAAUAUUGUCUUUCAAUAAUUAAAGACUAAGCAAGAAUUCAGGUAAAAAAAAAUUCAAAAUUUACCUGUUAAAUUUAAAAAAGUUUUGAUGCUUUCCGCAGUGUAGUGCGGCCCAGAAAACUAAUAGGAAUGGAAUGAAACCACCAUAUGGUGUCCAUAAAUAGGAGCUGUGUUGGUUCUCACCGUAGCUUAAAACCUGGUAGCGUAACGACUUGGACUCUAGCUGCGGCCGCAUUUUAUUUCUUUAUAAACGCCAUAAUUUUGAUUAAAAAAAAAUGGAUUGACCUUGAGCCUGGUCGUAUGCCGGUCAGGUCUGUGUUUACCAUAGUUUAUAUGCCUGCUAGUUCUUUAUAAUUUUUAUUUUAUUUUAAUUGUUUGGGGGCGGGCCUGGCAUCCCUACUGGGAGUAGUUAUAAUAAAAACAAACAAAAAAAAUAUUUCUGGGUAACCACUGUGGUGGAUCUCCUUUUAGCCGUACAGGUGGGCUGAUGUUUUGGAUAUUGCCAGAGGAAAAAGGAGGGCAGAGAUGAUUAGUCUGUGCACUGCAUAUCUGGGAUUGAAGACAUAUGAAAUAUAGAAGGGCUGUGCCUAUGUGAGCAGAAAAGAGAUUCCUUGUCGCAAACAUCUGCAGAGAGAGUACGAGGUUCUGUAUACUUUGACAGCAUGCAAUUUUGGUUCAAGUGUAAGCAUGGCUUUCUUGGAAUAUAUUACUGAUGUCCAUAUCAUCAACUUAGAAUUACUUCAUUGUUUUGGUUCUUAAAGUGAUAAGAAUGGAGCUUGACUUCUAACCUUAGCAUCAACUUUUAUGCAUGACCGGUAUUACCUCUUGCAUUUCUUGGGAUGGAAGAAGACUUUUGCUUAUCCGGUGCUUCGAAAAGUGACAAACUUGACUGUAACUUAUCCCUAAUCUUUGAUGACUUGCAAACGCGACAGAUUUGAGCUCUGGCUUUUCCUAGCAACUUCGCACCACAACAUAAAUACCCCACACGGAAAAAACAUAAAGGAACCUAGCAAUAUCAGAUUGGCCAAGUCCUUGAAAUGUUUUCCACGGCUCAAGUCAAUGGAGUAAACUAUACAUAAAUUACUCAAGAGAGCCAAGCCCCAAAUUACGUUUUCAGGAUAACAUCAUUUGCAGGACAGUGAAGCUCAAAAAAACUAUGUCUUUGGAAAUGGAUCUCUCUGUAGUUUGCUUGUUGAUGCUGGUCCUUGUAUGUCAUGGAGCUGGCCUUAACGAUAAGUUCCAAAAAGCAAAGUGUAAGAAGCAUGGUCCAGCCAUAAAAUUUCCAUUCAGACUCGACAAGCAGCCAGAGUACUGUGGCUAUCCUGGGUUUGUUCUAUCUUGCAAUCAAAGGAACGAAACAUUGUUGCAGCUACCAAAUUCUGUGACGCUCAACAUCAAGGAAAUUGACUAUGCAUCACGGUUAAUCAUUGCAGGCUUUGCAGCUGAUCCAGAUAACUGCCUCCCAAGACAGCUUAGAAACUUCAGUUUAUCUCAAUCUCCUUUCAAAUUUGCGGCCCCGCACCAGGAUGAUUAUGCCCUUUUCAACUGUACAUCAAAGCAUGGAGAUUAUUAUGGGCGGAUACCUUGCCAUGGUGUUCCUGGAUAUGAUAUCUAUGCCUAUAGUUCUAAUUAUUUCAACGGUGAUACAGACCUGACUUCUUGUACCAAGAUGUAUAAUGUUCCAUCAAUUCCAUGGGAAACGAUUCAUGAUAAUAUUCUUCGCUUGAAGUGGUCAGAACCAGCAGCAUGUGAAGAACACGGCAUGUUCUGCAGAUGGAAGAAUAACACUUCUAAGCUUGAAACUGAAUGCUUUGAGAAGCCUAAAUCAAAUGAAGGUACGGUCUGUAUUAGAUUCUGCUUUAGUUUUCUGCAGCCAAUCUAAUUCUUUGUGCUUAAUUUGGAACUAUUGGAUGACAUCUUUAGUUAAGAAAAUCAAAUAUUUUCACGAGUUCUUCAAUUUUAGUUAUGAAACAUGUGUUACAGGUUAUGAUUUAUAUUAUUCUCUAGCACACCCCUUCAAGUGAAAGCUUUUUGGGCUUGAAACUUGCACGGGCCCACACUACCUUGUGUUUCAUUUUUUAUCAAAUAAAUGGAGAUGGUAAGAUUCAAACUCGUAACCACUUGAUCAUCAAGGCUCUGAUACCAUGUCAAAGAACCAUUUAUAUAAUAUACUACUUGGAAUUAUAUUCUAAAACCUUAUCUAAUAGCUUAAGCUGUUAGGUAAGGUCUCAAAAUAUGAUUUAUAUUAUUCUAUAACAACAUGUACUUUUCAGGUCAUGUAGGUUGGUUGCUUGAUACAUGUUAAGAUUUAGUAAAUUGCACAAGAUAGUCAUGGUUUACAAAAAGAUUCAUGAAUUAUGAUUGUCGAAUGCGUGCUAUUAAAGAAGCUAAUGUUACCAUAUAUUUUCUCUUANNNNNNNNNNNNNNNNNNNNNNNNNNNNNNNNNNNNNNNNNNNNNNNNNNNNNNNNNNNNNNNNNNNNNNNNNNNNNNNNNNNNNNNNNNNNNNNNNNNNAUCUUGCUUCUUCUAAACUAUCUUGAUGAGUUCUUGAUAAAUAAAUGUUUUGCUUGCAGUUGCAACCGUGGGUUCGGUUCUUGUAUUACUGGUAUUGUUGGCAGCCUACCGUGUCUACAGCUCCGAUAAAGCAGCGAAAAACAAUCAGAAAAGGAUUGAAAACUUUCUGGCAGAUUAUAAAGCUCUCAAGCCCGCAAGAUACACGUAUGCUGACAUUAAAAGGAUUACGGAUGAGUUCAAGGACAAGCUGGGUCAGGGAGCAUAUGGAACUGUGUUUAAAGGAAAGCUUUCUGAUGAGAUCUUUGUUGCUGUGAAGAUCCUGAACAACUCAACAGCAAACGGAGAAGAGUUCAUCAAUGAAGUGGCAACAAUGGGAAAGAUCCAUCACGUCAAUGUUAUACGCUUAGUUGGUUACUGUGCUGAUGGAUUUCAAAGAGCUCUAGUCUAUGAUUACCUGCCAAAUGAAUCACUAGCGAAAUUUGUAUCUUCAGAACAUGGUGAAACCUCCAGUCUUAGCUGGGAGAGGCUUCAGGAUAUUGCUCUUGGCAUGGCUAAAGGCAUCGAAUAUCUUCACCAAGGUUGUGAUCAGCGAAUCCUCCAUUUCGACAUCAAACCUCAUAACAUCUUGUUAGAUGACCAUUUCAAUCCAAAGAUUUCUGAUUUCGGUCUGGCAAAGCUGUGCUCCAAGGAUCAGAGUGCCGUGUCCAUGACUACAGCUCGAGGAACCAUGGGGUAUAUUGCACCUGAAGUUUUCUCUGUUGGGGAUUCCGACCGGUGGUGUACUGAUAGUUGCUCAUAGGAGGUUAAAGCACACUGACACAAUAUUUAACGUGGUUCGGCAAAACCGCCUACAUCCACGGGAGAGUCCAUAUUAUUAGAGAUAUAUAGAGAAAGGAUUACAACAUACAUGGAGGAGGAGGAUCACUUCACUCAAACUCAACUCCCAACUCUUUUGCUGCACUUGCAGCUGCUGCAAUGGCAGCAGCCAUUGCAGCUCUCUCUUUCUCUCCACUCUCUUGCACACACUCACGUUUGCUCUCUUCAACCCUCUCAUUUUGCUCUCACAAAAUAUGCCUCUUUUAUAGGCAAUUCUUGGCAACUUUCUCCAGCAAUAGCAAGGGGACAAUAGGUCCCGAAAUCAUGCCACUAAUUGUGGCAUUAGUGAUGCUUCCACUAAGCCACAAUUAGUGGUGGGGUAUUGCCACUAAAUGGCAAUAUCCCAACAAUCACCCCCUUUGCCAUUUGUGUGGGCAAUUGUUUUCUUGCUUCUUCAGCACAAGCUUGCAUUAUGCAGUUCUUCCAAGCUUCCAUUUUGAGAGCGUCUUCAACACAACAUUCCCCUUCGAGCGUAUCAAUCAUGCUCGGUCCGGAAUGAUAUUUCAAGCCUUACACCAAGGCUUACAACACCCCCUCAAACGGAUAUUUCAAGUGCGACAGUCAUUAUCUGAGAAUCUCAAUAUGAUCACGAGCUCACCACUCUUCCAAGAGUCUACUCAUCCAGGAGUUGCGCCUGCCCUCUGUUCCACCCUAGGAACCACGCCUUACUUCUCCGUGAGUCUCUCGCUCUUAGUCGUAAGAGUCUAGGUAGCUCUCCACCUUUAACCAUGGGGGCAGCCCAUUAAAGGUUGAUCCAUAUCUGUCUUCAUACUCUGAGUAUUACAAUGCCAUUACCGAGCUCACCACCUUGACAAGAGUCAACUCGUUCUCGGAACCUGCGCAUGCCCUUCUGCUUCUUCAUAGCAGCCGCGUCUUAAUGCUCCACAAGUCACACACUUAUUGUCCAAGGCAAAUGUCUUCUAGCUCAUUGAUCUUUAGCAUGGGGGCAAUAUCCAUGAAAGUCAAUCCUGCAUUUGUCUCCAUACUCAUCAUAGCCACUUCAUUGGCUAUCCAUACACCUGUCCACUUGUAUCUAGCCAUCACAUUGGCUCUGGGGUUGUUUUGAACUGGGCUCAUAUCGUGGCCCACACACCUUCUCCUUAGGUGUCUCCGCUCGUCCCCAUGCGGCGGUCUGAACUGGGGCUUCUAUCACGGCCCUCACACCUUCUCUAAGGUGUCUUCGCCCGUUGUCAUGGGGCGGUCUGAUCCGGGCUCCUAUCAUGGCCCUCACGCACCUUCCAUCUAAGGUGUCUUCACCUUUCAUAGGUGGCCGCAUCCUCCUUCAGCUGAGAUGCUUCAAAGUGGCUCCAAAAGUCUCUACCACCAUGUGCACUAUGGGAGAGAUUACUGCCACUAACUACAUAGAAAAAGAAAGUUGCGGUAUACUCCUCGCAAUCCUCCACCUCGAUUUCUAUGUUUGGAGCUUCUGUGCCUUUCUGCUUGACCGCUCCACCUACACCAAUUAUCUUUGGUGUCUUCGCCUUUCAUCAUAGGCGGUUGCCUUUUAUCACAGGCGUUUGCACCCCCUCAAUUAGGUGCCUCUGCAACAGCUCUCUUUCCAUCCUUGCAUGCAUUGGAAAGGUCUUCGCCUGUUGUCUUCAUUAAGAGCAUAAGAGACUUCCUGUUGUACAAACUUUAACAGUCUAUGCUCUGAGCUUCAUCUGGGAACACUUCUUCUCCUUGCACCUGUUGUCUCAUUACAGUACCUCGUUGGAUCCUACGGGUACUCCUGCACAAUCUCUGUGUGCCCUCGUGCAAUUUCUGUUCUCCAGAUUUCUCCUUAUUCCUUGCUUAUGUUUGACAGCAGCUCAUCCUGUCACAACACCUGUCCAAGUCAAAAUAGGGUGCCAAUCUUUAUCCCCUUGUUGUAUUCCUCUUCCAUUAUCAGGGUCUUCAUCAAUUCUCCCUCAAGAAAUCACAGUCACCGAAUCUAACUUCUUUGGAGAAAUCACCACUUCAUCAGAUCCUUGAUCAUACGGAACCCAACUGUUCCCUUGUGCCGUCGUCCUGCUAGUCUUCAACCGUUUCAUUACAAACUGCUAUAUAUACGAAAAUAGUACCGUAUGGAUAAUCCUUCCACUAAGCAAGUUCCCAGGAAAGAUUGGAGGGGUCACACUGGUCCCGCUUAAAACCCAACCUCCUAGACAGAACUUCUUAGGCCAUAUCUAUCCAUCGUACUGUCUUUCCGUAUAUACAACCAUUUGCUAGCUUUGUUGCGGCUUUCCUUUACAAGUGAUCUGGGGUAUCCUGGUUUUAUACCUGAUUUCUCAACAUCUGGCGAGACUACCAGUUCUUAGAUUCGUCAAGAUUGGUCUUCAUUAAUUUCCACUCUACACCUCAAAUUGUCCACAUGAUCGGGUGUCCAGAGUGUCCCAAUUUUGCCUUCCUUCAAGGCAGUUAAAAUUCUCCCCACUUAGCAGUUCAGCACAUGUAAUUGGGCAAACAUGUGCACCUUCAUCUUCUUCAUCUCCAUCGACCACCAUGAUGACCUUCAGAUGCCUCACAAUCGGGCAAUCUCUUUUGUUAAUUAACCACCACCACUUUCGGUCUCAAAUCUCAACGAUCGGACCAUACCAUUGCAUCCGGAACGAUCAAAUUAGCUGGAAACAAGUCUGAAAUCGUCCAAAUCGCAUUUCAUACGGCUAAGAAUUGAUCAAAACAAUUCUGGCCUGAUGAACGGCCCAGAUUCAAUCUCAGAUCCGGUUGCACGUAGACUCUGCUGCACAGAAUCGUUUCCCUCGUCUCGCGGCUCGGCUCGGCUUCAAAACGGCUCGGCUCAACUUGGCUCGGCUUGGCUCGGCUCGCAGCUGGUGACGUGGCAGGUGGGUCCCACAGUGCUUACGUGUCAGCUGACUGGACGCUGACAUGGUAUGCCAACUGUGCAUGCUUGCGUCAUGAUGACGUCAUCCUUAUCCGGGUCUGGCACGUGGGUCGGGUCGUCUGGUAUUCGGGUCGGGUCAGCCCAUCCGGGCGAAGAAGACGCGUGUGACACGUGGCGCGCGUCUGUGCGCGUGGGCAGUAACCUCGCCGGCGCGUGACGGCGCGUGAGGACGUUUCCGACGUCAGAUUUCGACGCGGUUUUCAACAGUGGCUUCGUCUCUUCCUCCUCUACACAGUGGUAUGGUCAAAACACAAUUUUGACAACUUUCAUUUUUGAGCAAAAUCAAACACCCCUUUAAACCAUGUGCUCUGAUACCAAUUGUUGGGGAUUCCGACCGGUGGUGUACUGAUAGUUGCUCAUAGGAGGUUAAAGCACACUGACACAAUAUUUAACGUGGUUCGGCAAAACCGCCUACAUCCACGGGAGAGUCCAUAUUAUUAGAGAUAUAUAGAGAAAGGAUUACAACAUACAUGGAGGAGGAGGAUCACUUCACUCAAACUCAACUCCCAACUCUUUUGCUGCACUUGCAGCUGCUGCAAUGGCAGCAGCCAUUGCAGCUCUCUCUUUCUCUCCACUCUCUUGCACACACUCACGUUUGCUCUCUUCAACCCUCUCAUUUUGCUCUCACAAAAUAUGCUUUUUUUAUAGGCAAUUCUUGGCAACUUUCUCCAGCAAUAGCAAGGGGACAAUAGGUCCCGAAAUCAUGCCACUAAUUGUGGCAUUAGUGAUGCUUCCACUAAGCCACAAUUAGUGGUGGGGUAUUGCCACUAAAUGGCAAUAUCCCAACAUUCUCUAGGAACUUUGGGCAUGUUUCCUAUAAGUCCGAUGUUUAUAGUUUUGGAAUGGUGUUGCUUGAAAUGGUCGGAGGGAGGAAGACUAUCGAUGAUAAGGUAGAGAACAGCAACCAAAUCUACUUCCCAGAAUGGGUCUACAACAGCCUGGAUAAAGGAGAAGAGCUGAGAAUCAGAAUUGAAAAGGAGGGGGACGCGCAAAUCGCAAAGAAGCUGACUCUCGUAGGACUAUGGUGCAUUCAGUGGCACCCCGUGGAUCGUCCGUCAAUGAAUACUGUCGUGCAAAUGUUGGAAGGAGAAGGAGACAAGUUAACAAUGCCUCCUAGCCCUUUCGCUUCUGCAGGUCCUGGAAGAAUGCAUGCAAAUAUGCCAGGGAGACCUCAUUAUCAAGCGUUGGAAGUGAUCUCUGAAACAGAGUAAGCAUACAACGAUCAAGUAGUCAAGUAGAAGGGCUACGCAAACAUAUCUGCAGAGAGUGAGGCGUUCUAUAUCUUUUAGGGUGUGUAAUAUUUGUCCAACUGAAAGCAAGGCAUGUAAUAUAAUCUUCGUACUGAUAAGGAAAGCAUCAUGUCACGUUAUCCUACUUGAUUGUAGGAAAUAAUUUAGCAGAAUAGUUAGGUGGUUAUUUCUGUAAUUAGUUUACAAGAUAUGUUUGCAGGAAAGGUGGUGGCAAUCGGUUGUCGUUGUAAAGAUGGUCUUCAUGUACUAGAACGCAAUCAUUUCACAUUUGUUUUUUUUUUAAAAUAAUUCUUUGCGUGCCUCUUAUGAUAUCUGGCAUGCAUGUUUAGGUCACGUUUCACAUUCUGUUAUUUCCUUAUUAAAUAAAAAAAAAAGCUAUCUUUUUGUUACUUCUUUACUACCCUCUCCUAACUUGUGUGUUGCUUGUCAGAUUGCUAAAAGUCACAAACUACAUUUUAAUGCUAAUGAUCAACGUGCUUCCCAUAUCUUGAACCUUAUUCAUUGUGAUAUAUGGGGCCCUGCACAUGUUAUGUAUUUAUCCAAUUUUUGUUAUUACAUUAUAUUUAUCGAUGAUCAUUCAUGUUUCACGUGAUUUUAUCCCAUGACAUUAAAAUCUCAAGCCUUUAUGGGUUUUAAGCAAUUUCAAACUCUUGUUGAGGUUCAGUUCUCAUGCAAAAUUAAAAAUUUUCAAAGCGAUGAGGGAGCUAAAUUUACGAGCAAUCAAUUUCAAUCUCAUCUUCUUGCUUUCGGAAUUCAUCACCAAAUGUCUUAUCCCUACACCCCUUCCUAAAAUGGUUGCGUUGAAUGUAAGCAUCGACACAUCACUGAAACUGGUCUUGCUUUGUUAUUCCAUUCCAAUGUUCCUUUAUCACAUUGGGUUGACGCGUUCAAUACUACUCUUUUUACCAUCAAUUGGUUGCCCUUACCUGUUCUUGGUAACCUUUCUCCCUAUGAAGUUUUGUCUGGUAAGCCACCCACAUAUGUUGAUUUCCAUCCUUUUGGUUGCCGUGUGUUUUCUUACUUACUAGAUUAUGCCUUUCACAAAUUUGCUCCAAGUAGCACUGCUUGUAUUUUUCUUGGCUAUAACAUGUCUCACAAGGGAUUUCGAUGUCUUGAUCCUUCUACAUAACAUAUUUAUAUCACAUGUCAUGCCCGAUUUCAUGAGCUUAAUUUUUCAUUUGCUGGUUCCUCCUCUUCUUGCGAUCCCACAUCACUAGAUAUUUUGAUUUUAUCUGAACCUGUUGUGCCCUUUCUUCCUUUUGAAUCUCGGCAAUCUUCUCCACCACUUUCUAUUGCACCUUUUUUAUCAUCUUGUGUUCCUUGUACUGCUGACUUUUCUGGUGAUUUUAUGCAACCUUCAUCCUAAGGUUCUACUGCCACAGUUGAUUCCACAGUAGAGUCCAUCUCUUCUCUUGCUACAGCAUCAUCCUCAUUUGUUGUUUCUCUGCCAUCAGACCAACCUGUCAUUCCUUCCGCAACUUCUUCUAACCGUCAUCCGAUGAUCCCUAGAGCUAAGGUUGGUGUCUUCAAGCCUAAACAUCACCCAUAAAUUUCCUUCUUGUUGCCUUCGUCGUUGGUCCACGCCUUAUUUGCUACACAGGAACCGAAGGGUUUUACAUCUGCCUCUAAACAUCCUAGUUGGGUUGUUGCUAUGGAUGAAGAAUUGGAUGCUCUUUCCUCUAAUGACACAUGGGUCUUGGUUCCUCAUCCUUCCUGCACUAAUAUUGUCGAAUCCAAGUGGGUCCUUCGUGUCAAAUACUUAGCUGAUGACACUAUUGAUCAUCUCAAAGCUUGCCUUGUUGCUAAAAGCUAUUCUCAACUUCCUAGUUUGGAUUUUCACGACACCUUCAGUCUUGUUGUUAAGGUCUCCACCGUGCGUCUUGUCAUCUCUCCUGCAAUGUCUUAUCAAUGGCCUCUACAUCAAUUAGAUGUCAAAAAUGCCUUCCUCAGUGGUUUGUUGACCAAAAUUGUCUACAUGGAACAACCUCCUGGUUAUGCUGAUCCGUGAUUUCCUCAUCAUAUUUGUAAGCUCAAGAAGGCUCUCUAUGGUUUGAAGCAAACCCCUCGAGCUUGGUUCCAUUACUUCAUUUCCUUUUUACUUUGUCUUGGUUUCACUUGCAGCACUGCCGACUCCUCUCUCUUUGUCUAUGCUAGAUCCAACAUUAUCCUUUACAUAUUGCUCUAUGUUGAUGAUAUUGCUGUCACUGGCAACAAUACUCAUUUCCUUCGAGAUUUUAUUUAGCAACUUCAUCGAGAGUUUUCCACGAAAGACUUAGGAACAUUGAAUUCUUUUCUUGGUCUUGUGGUUUCCUCCUCUGCUAAUGGCCUUUUCUUGAGUCAAGCAAAAUAUGCUCAUGAUAUCCUUGCCCGUGCUCAGCUGCUCGAUUGCAAGCCAACGACAACUCCCAUAGUUAUUUCACAAUAGUUUUCCAGUAAUUGUGUUGCCUUCACUGAUCCCACAUUGUAUCGUUCCAUGGUGGGCGCUUUGCAAUACUUAACUAUUACAAGUCCUGAUCUUACUCAUGUUGUCAAUUCUGAUAGUCAGUAUAUGCAAUCUCCCAUGGUGCAUCACUUUCAAGCCCUCAAACAUAUCCUUCGGUAUGUCAAUGGUACUCUUCAUUAUGGCCUUUAUUUCUCUUCUUCUUCACCCACUAGUCAUAUUGUCUACUCUAAUGCUGAUUGGGCUGGUUGCCCCGACACACGUCGCUCCACCUCUGGUUACACAAUUUUUUGGGUGACAUUCUCAUCUCGUGGAGUGCUAAGAAACAACCUAUUAUUUCUCGUUCUAGUUGUGAAUCUGAGUAUCGCGCCUUGGCUCACAUGGCUUCUAAAGUUGUUUGGAUAACUCAUCUUCUUUGUGACCUCAAAGUUUCCUUAUCUCACAAGCUUUUACUCCUUUUUGAUAACAUGAGUGCGGUUUUUCUUACUCUCAAUCCAGUUUCUCACAAAAGGUCAAAACACAUUGCUCUUGAUUACCACUUUAUUCGUAAACUAGCAACGUCAGGGAUUAUUCAACUUCAAUUUGUGCUAUCUCACUUGCAAAUUGCUAACAUAUUCACUAAAAGUCUCUCUCGGUCACUAUUUACAUUCUUUCGCUUCAAGCUUCGUGUUCGUGUCAAUCCCACACUCAGCUUCCGAGGUGAUGAUACGGAAAGCAACAUAUCACAUUAUCCUCCUUGAUUGUAGGAAAUACUUUAGCAGAAUAGUUAGGUGAUUGUUUCUAUAGUUAUUUUACAAGAUAUGCUUGUAUAUUCCUAUAUAAAUAAAACCUCUCCACCACAGAAGCCAGUGUGGCUUUACUAUUCCUGUUACGUACAUUGAACAAUGAUGGUGUUUGGGAUGUAUUACUGACGCCAAUAUGAUCAAUGCAAACUAAGUAUAAAUAUUUGAACUUUAUUCUUUUGGCUCUCAAAGUGAUAAGAAUGACUGUCAUUUUUUGAGUUCAAUUUUUCCUCCUUCCCUUAGUUUGGAAAAGGCUAUGAUACCAAACUACAGCUUAUAUUGAAUAUUUCACCAAGAAUAUCACCUUGUGCGUUAACAAAAAAAAAAAAAAAACUCAUGCUCGUAAAGAAAAUCACACAAAUAUUUUUUCUUCGCGUCAAUUGAGUGUUUUCUCUGGGAAUAGAAUCUUGCUUCUCAUGCUGAAGUUCUUUCAAAAGGUACUAAAAAGAGCUGUAAUGGCAUUGAGCCAAAUGUUGGAGAUAUCUGGUUCAACACCUUUGUGCUUUGAGAAGUCACGGAAGAAGAACUCUAAAUAUUCUUUUAUCUUCAUGUUAUGAAAAUGAUUAUUACUUGGCCCUUCAUAUUUGAAAAAAGUGGCCAUUUUAUCUCAUCUUUCCUGGAGAGGCUUAUUUGAUCAACUUUAUUUCGAGGUUUGCGAGCCUCAUGUCAAGCCUUUGAUGAGUGACUUGGAAAGAAUAUCUAUAGAACAAAUAUAGUCUGAUGCCGAGCCUUUGAUGAGUGACUUGGAAAGAAUAUCUAUAGAACAAAUAUAGUCUGAUGCCGAUCACUCUCACUUUUGAAUUUUUUUAUUUGAUUACUACUGAUUUGGAGACUGCAAAUUGUCAUCAAAAUAAAGUUAUUUUUAAAUUGUUUUUUUCUUUUCUAAUUCUUGUGGCUGUCGUGACUCUCCUCUCAUCAAACCAAUAAUUUUAAUUUUUAAUUUUGAGUUUUUGGGUUCAAGAAAUGUAAAAGUACCAAGGAAAUGUUUCUCUCUCAUGUUACUUUUGAUUAUGGUUUAUUUAUAGAAGGAUAAGAGAAGAGAUCAUGGUUUAUAAAGUUUUGAAGUUUAUAUUAUUAAAAUUGAUUUAUGAUUAUUAUGAGUUUAAAGUUAAAUAAUUGAUUUUGGGUGUAUUAUUAGAAAUAAAAAUUUGUAAAAUGAUUUGUUAUGAGUUAAGAAAUAUGUUUCAACUUUGAUGGAAAAUAAAAAAUGAUCAUGAGGUUGAAAAUGAUGAAAUUUUAUUUUGGUUCUUAAUUUAUAAAACUUAUAGUUUAGUCUUUAAAUUUUGAAAAAUUAUAAUUUGACCCUUAAAACGUGUUUUGGAAUUCUAGACAAUAUUCUUAUGAGAUUAAGGAUAAUAAAUCUCAAUUUAAUAAUUGAUUUGUUUAAUUUUUAUUCAUUCCCUACAAAGCUUGGCUAAACUCAAUAUAUCACAAUAUAAAUAUUAAAUAAAAAAAUUAUUUUUAAUUUUUUAACAGUUUUAAUGAACGUCCUUUAAAUUUCCCAAAUCAAUUCAAUCAUAUAGAGUCAUCUUUCAUGUAGAGUCAAUACGGUAAGAAUGGAGCUUGACUUCUAACCUUAGCAUCAACUUUUAUGCAUGACCGGCAUUACCUCUUGCAUUUCUUGGGAUGGAAGAAGACUAUUCCUUAUCGAGUCCUUGGAAAAGUGACAAACUUGACUGUAACUUAUCCCUAAUCUUUGAUGACUUGCUAACGCGACAGAUUUGAGCUCUGGCUUUUCCUAGCAACUUCGCACCACAACAUAAAUACCCCACACGGAAAAAACAUAAAGGAACCUAGCAAUAUCAGAUUGGCCAAGUCCUUGAAAUGUUUUCCACGGCUCAAGUCAAUGGAGUAAACUAUACAGAAAUUACUCAAGAGAGCCAAGCCCCAAAUUACGUUUUCACGAUAAAAUCAUUUGCAGGACAGUGAAGCUCAAAAAAAUUCUUUGGAAAUGGAUCUCUCUGUAGUUUGCUUGUUGAUGCUGGUCCUUGUAUGUCAUGGAGCUGGCCAUAAGGAUACGUUCCAAGAAGCAAAGUGUAAUAAGCAUGGUCCGGCCAUAAGAUUUCCAUUCAGACUCGACAAGCAGCCAGAGUACUGUGGCUAUGAUCCUCGGUUUGUUCUAUCUUGCAAUGAAAGGAAAGAAACAUUGUUGCAGCUACCAACUUCUGUGACGCUCAACAUCAAGAAAAUUGACUAUAAAUCACGGUUAAUCAUUGCAGCUGAUCCAGAUAACUGCUUCCUAAGACAGCUUAGAAACUUCAGUUUAUCUAAAUCUCCUUUCAAAUUUGCGGACCAGUACCAGUAUGAUUAUACCCUUUUCAACUGUACAUCAAAGCAUGGAGAUUCUUAUGAGCGGAUACCUUGCCUUAGUGUUCCUGGAUAUGAUAUCUAUGCCUAUAGUUCUAAUUAUUUCAUCGGUGAUACAGACCUGACUUCUUGUACCAAGAUGUAUAAUGUUACAUCAAUUCCAUCGGAAAUGAUUCGCGGUGAUAAUAUUCUUCACUUGAACUGGUCAGAACCAGCAGCAUGUGGAGUUUGUGAAGAACAAGGCAAGUUCUGCGGAUGGAAGUAUAACAUUACUAAGCUUGAAACUGAAUGCUAUGAGAAGCCUAAAUCAAAUAAAGGUACGGCCUGUAUUAAAUUCUGCUUUAGUUUUCUGCAGCCAAUCUAAUUCUUUGUGCUUAAUUUGGAACUAUUGGAUGACUCUUUAGUUAAGAAAAUCAAAUAUUUUCACGAGUUCUUCAAUUUUAGUUAUGAAACAUGUAGUUUUCAGGUCAUGUAGGUUGGUUGCUUGAUACAUGUUGAGAUUAGUAAAUUGCACAAGAUAGUUACCAUAUAUUUCUCUUACAGGCAAAAUAAGGAAGAUAGAGGGUGCGGGUGAGAUUUCUGCAAAUUUGGAAGUUUUAGAAUUGUUUCCUUAUCUUGCAUCUUCUAAACUAUCUUGAUGAGUUCUUGAUUAAGAAAUGUUUUGUUUGCAGUUGCAACCGUGGGUUCGGUUCUUGUAUUACUGGUAUUGUUGGCAGCCUACCGUGUCUACAGCUCUGAUAAAGCAGCGAAAAACAAUCAGAAAAGGAUUGAAAACUUUCUGGCAGAUUAUAAAGCUCUCAAGCCCGCAAGAUACACGUAUGCUGACAUUAAAAGGAUUACGGAUGAGUUCAAGGACAAGCUGGGUCAGGGAGCAUAUGGAACUGUGUUUAAAGGAAAGCUUUCUGAUGAGAUCUUUGUUGCUGUGAAGAUCCUGAACAACUCAACAGGAAACGGAGAAGAGUUCAUCAAUGAAGUGGCAACAAUGGGAAAGAUCCAUCACGUCAAUGUUAUACGCUUAGUUGGUUACUGUGCUGAUGGAUUUCGAAGAGCUCUGGUCUAUGAUUACCUGCCAAAUGAAUCAUUAGCGAAGUUUGUAUCUUCAGAACAUGGCGAAACCUCCAGUCUUAGCUGGGAGAGGCUUCAGGAUAUUGCUCUUGGCAUGGCUAAAGGCAUCGAAUAUCUUCACCAAGGUUGUGAUCAGCGAAUCCUCCAUUUCGACAUCAAACCUCAUAACAUCUUGUUAGAUGACCAUUUCAAUCCAAAGAUUUCUGAUUUCGGUCUGGCAAAGCUGUGCUCCAAGGAUCAGAGUGCCGUGUCCAUGACUACAGCUCGAGGAACCAUGGGGUAUAUUGCACCUGAAGUUUUCUCUAGGAACUUUGGGCAUGUUUCCUAUAAGUCUGAUGUUUAUAGUUUUGGAAUGGUGUUGCUUGAAAUGGUCGGAGGGAGG
rnacentral:lncRNA from 1 species